GGAAAUGCAACUGGCCAACAAACCAAAAGCUAUGGCUGAACCAUCCAUCCUUCCAUUUCACUGCAUCUUUGAGCUCUUCUCGUGGGUAUUUAUACCAUGCCAUGGGCGGCAUUUGCUCCCUGGUUGAUCUCUGAAGAGUUCAGAAUUCAGAGCAGAAGUAGUAUGAAGCUUCUUGACACAUGCAUGCCAAAACAUGGCUCCGUUUGGAGAAGGCUUAGCAAUUAGCAUGUUUGAGGAUGUGCAAGAGGAGGUUUAUCCAGGACAAUCUAUAAAGGUAAGAGUGUUUGAAUUCUGUUUGCUAUCUAUGAUGUCGUGGGACAGUUUGCAGUAAAUUAUUCUUGUAGAUCCUUUUCUCUUGAAGUUCCCACAUAUUAACAUUAGAGAAGAUUACACCUCCUGGUUUGGUUCUCCUUUUCAGACUUGCUCAUCUAGUUUGGUUAAAUAAUCCUUAGAUCUAUCCUUAUGUUGGCUAAAGAUUAUGAUUUCAACUUUUUUUUUUGUUCCAAGAUUUCAACUCCAUUUAGGAAUGAUCUGUCACACACAAAUGUUUACUGUAAAUACUUGUGAUGAGUCGCAUUUGGAGUCAUUUAGGAAUUGAUCUCUCUCGCAUACAAAUAUAUUCCUAAAACCAGAUGCAUCUAAGAACCUUAGCUCUUGAAAGGAACCCAUUAAACAUGUCGGUGGGAGCCUUGCUAGGUAAAAAUCUGUCCAAAUUCGUAAUGCUAGGUAGUAGUAGCAAGCAUGACGGCCGUUGUUACAUUAUUGCAAUUUCAAGUUGCUACAGUUCAAUCUCUCAUAAAAAGUUGCCACAGUUCAAAAAGAGGAGCGCUGUACUUCAAUUUUCUACUACUACAACAUGUUUUUGCAUGCUAUGUUUUCUGAUCCUUGGAUUACAUGCUCUCAGUAAUCCAACACAGCUUUUUUUUUUAAACAAUUGAACAUAAGCAUCAGUUAAUUCGAUUACUUAGCUCAAUACACCUGAUGAAACAAGAAACAAAACUAAAUGAUCUCAAUCAACAGCAUCCUUUCUGUUCACAAAAUCAUACAGAACAUUAUUACGGAGUCUAUACAUGUACUACAAGAAGGGAAGUCAUAUAAUUCAAUUGAAUUUCUGGUUGCUAUAACAUACAAAAGGUGCAACUGUAAUUAUCUAGUUUGCAGUAACUAAGUUCACCAAAAUGCUGUGGCCAGUAUAUAUACCAAAAAAGAAAUACAUUUUGGCCUUCUUUUAACAUACAACACACACACACAUAUCAGCUUUCCUCAGCGUGACAUCUUCUCUUCUAUGCAACCGUGGAACUGAAUGAACAAAUGAUCUGUUGCAGUGCACACCAUGGAACCUGACAACUUGAAGCUCACCGAAUUUCUUGGUUUCACUCAUCAUGCAUAAGCCAGCAAAGUAGCCAACACAAUCGAAAAUACCAAAACCGAGAGUGUCAAUGGUUGUUUUGUCAGAGGACUUGCAUUAGGCAACCAUGGAUAUGCAUCCGGAGGUGGCAUGACACAAUUAUCACCAUUGAAGUACACGCGGUGUGGGAAGGCCCAUCCCUUGUCAAAGGUGAAGUCCUUGGAAUCCUUACGCAGAAGAAGUUCUGACUGUGCAUUUCCAAGUGGACCAGCUUGCAUGAGCAAAUCGUUAUAGAACUUAACUCCCCAGAACAUCGCAGUAUCAUCUAAAAUAGAAGGAAUAAACUUCAUCAGAGAAAGAGAGAGAGAGAGAGAGAUAAAGGAACGUAUUACAAGUGCACUCCAAUUUUCUUAAAUAAAGGAGAACAGUUUGUAAAUUGACUUACUUAUCUUGCUUCCAUAUGGAGUAAGUGGCUUGUAGUUGAAGCUAAACAGCUGGGUGAUAUUAUUGAAGUUAGGAUGUUGAGCGACCAAAUUCCACUGUGUGUAAUUCAUGCGGUAGUUGAAGUUCGUAAUCGUGAUCUUCACUCUCCAAUAUUCCUUAUAGUUGAGUUUCACAUGCCAGUGGAUUCUGAUCGGGCACAUGUGAGAAGUACAUUGGACAAGAGGCUGACCGGUCCAUUUGCCAGGGCCAUCAAUGGCAGAUUGUAAAUAAGGUGAAUUCUCACUGUGGAAAUGCAUGGAACUUGUUAGCAAUUUUGCAGAAAAGUUGGGCCUCAACAAGAAGCGAAGUAAGAGUUUUGGUUUUAUUAACUCACUUUACACAGCUUCCAGGACUUGUCCCAUUGUUUUGGCAGCCACAAGAGCAUGUUGGGCAGUUCACAAUUGUGUCAUUAUAAAAUGAUGAGAGAGAUACACAGCAGGAAGGAGUCUUCUGAGCAAGAAAUUGGGAGUAUGUGCAGGUCACAUUCCAUGUCACUGCAAACAGAUUUUAUUUUUGUUAAGAAACAAAAAACAAAAAUGAACUUUAUGGUAUAAGAUUUUGACAAAUUUAACUUCUAUAUGGAGCCACUAUGAUGCAUGUCUGCAUUUGACGAAUAUUAUUUGCUAGAGAAUAAUAUUAACUGAAUUAGCUGUAUUCUAUUAGGCCAACAUGCCAAGUAAUAUAACCUAUUAUCAACUAUUAUUCACAGUUGGACUCAUCUCACUUUGAGAACAAUCUCUUUCCCUUCAACAGAUUACAUCUUCUUACUAACCCUACACAUAAGGUAACCUAGUUCAACCAUGCAAUUGUUGUUUAGGCUGCAAAUGCAUUUCCUCAAAGAAUGAAAGCAAUUGGUAUUAAACAUUAAAGAACAACAGAUGAGCUACUUACUUAGAGCUUGGGUUGCUCUGCGCCCAUCCCCGGUGAAAAACUUAGUAGGCCUGACAAUCAUAGCACGCCCGCACGUGUACCCAGGACCUGGGGCCUUAAGAGUGAAGUUCUUAGGCAACUUAACUGUCUUGUUGGUAGUCCCAGCAAGACCUACACUGAUCUGGAAGGAAGAAGCAGCAUUUGAUGGGUCCUGGUUAAAUGUAUUUAUAACUCCAGCUUUGCAGCAAUUAGCGAUUUGCAUGUUGUAUGGGGUGCCCGGAAGCAGAUCAACAACUGUGGGAUCCUUCUUGCAGCAGUGGGGCGUGCCACCCUUGAACUUUGAGCAAUCGCCCUGCUCAGUGGUCUGUGCUCCAACCAUCGACCAAAUGACCUCCUUCUUUGCCCAUGUCCACCCCAGCUGCCACCCAGGUGCCUGGAUGUGCCGGAAUUGUUGAUAGUUGAACAUCGUGACCACAGCCUGCACAAGAAACAUUUUGGGGGGAAAUCAUGACACACAUAUACAAGAUAAUCAGAGUAUCCAUAAUAUGCUGACAUAAAACUCGUGUUUAUUAUUGUUAAUUGCUGCAUAUGUUUCUGACCAGCUGCUGGUUAUGCUAUCAACUUUGUACUUCAAAGACAACUUGUAGUAGUAUCAAAUAAAAUAAAAUUAUGGCCUAAUAAUAGUUGGGGAAACAAGAUGCAGAUGGAUUUUUUUGAACGAACAAUACAAGAUGCAUUUUUUGGUGUGGGGUUGCUACUUACAACAUAGCCAUCAGGAGUCCACGACAUAACGUCCCAUUUUAUCGUGAUGUUUCCAUUUGGAUCCAGCGCAUCAUAAGCCUCUGCAAGAGGAAAACAAAAAAGAGUUGCAUAUCAAGAUCCUGAACAAGGGAAACGAAAUGGGGGUAAAUUAGCAGUUCGGCAGAUGAAUAAGCCCCAUGAGUUAGUUAUAUCGUGAUCCCGAUUUCGAUCUGGAAGGGAAUUUUUUUUCGAAUUCGCCUCUCCUGAUCAGAUCUAUCACCUUGGGCACUGAUUAGUGUGGGAAGGAAGCUCCAUGCGUGCUCCUCUCAAUGGAUCUAAGCUACCUAACCUGAUCCAAGAAUCCGGUCAAGCGGGAGCGAAACGAACUGAAUUACUGCUACCUAAUCUGCUCCAAGAAUUCUGGCAAAAGCAGGAGCGAAACGAACUGAAUUACUGAUGAAACGAAUCGGAAUUCAAAAAAAAAAAAAAAGCCACCGACACACCGAACUGGAGCCACCGACACAGUCAGGAGGGGAUCGCAUUGCCCAAAUCUCGUGGUCACAACUCGUGAAAGUUAGUCGAGAGCCUCGGCGAUCGGGCCGGCGCAUGGAUCUGAGACCGGCACGGCACGAGCUGGCAGGCGCAAACAGAGAGAGAGAGAGAGAAGGAGCGAGAGCCGGGGAAACCUGUGGUGGCCGGCGCGGAGAAGAGCAGCGCCGCCGCGAGCAGCACGGCGCAGCAGCAGCACGGCGCCACGGAUCUGGAGCUCCCGGCUCCCCCCACCGCCAUAUCCCCGCCCGAUCGAGCUCGCGCUCCCCGCUCCGGAAUGCGAGCGCCCGCCCGCCCGGCGUCCCCCUCCUCCGCCCCACCGGAAGACGAGGAGCGGCAGGCAAAUUGAGCUGGUCCGCCGCGCCGCGUGCGUCAGCUCGUCACUCUCCUCCGCUCUGCGCCUCGGUGGAAGCAAAUAUAUUGCGGCAUUUUCUCGCCGCGAGAAGUGGUACUACUAGUAGCAGGGGUAGAUGCGACGCGCCAACCGCCAGGCAAGGCAAGGGGAAACCGACACUACCGCGGGGGAAUAAAAAAGGCGCAGGUGACAGAGCCUCUCCUCCCUCUUUCUGUCGGUGGCACUCGGCUCGCCGCUCGCCACUGUGUUUGUGUGUGGGUUUCAGUAGUUGGUGCGGCUGCUGCUGGCUCGUCUCGUGGACGUAUCAACAACCCCCCCCCCCCCCCCCCCCCCGUUGCCGUUGCCAUCGACGACCUUGCUGGGAUUAACAAAUUCAGGAUUGAUUAUUUGUAUCUCUCUUUUAUUUAAUUCUGCGUGUUUUGUUUUUGCUCCUGGUUUAAUUAUUGGUUGGGGUUAGCAUCGAGAUGUCUAGCUGGAUGGGUGUACUGUAUAGCUCGGGCCAGCUCUAACCCUAACCACCUCCAAGUGUUCUUCUUUUCUUUUUCCUGGUAGUAAUGGUUUGCCCCCACAUGUCGGUGAUGGUCUGAUGGAAUGGAUGGUGAUCUUUUUUUCUUUUCUUUUCUUUUUUUUUUGUUUUUCUUGCUGUUUAGGUUGUAUUUUUUUCCCCAUGGUUGUAAAGAAGAAAUAUUUUUUUCUCCCAACAAAGAGAUAUUGCAGAUCUAUUGAUAGAAAAUAUCGGAACGGUUCGUCUGAUCAGCUUCAGUAUUUGCAAAUAUUCAGUUCACUAAUCUGGGCCUCGAGCAUGUGAAGCAUGUGGCAAUCAUGUAGUAAUGUGGAGCAGGGAACAUGCAGAAUUCUUACUAUCAAAAUGCUGAUGAUGGAUAAACAGUCCAAUUCCGUUUGGAGAUAAAGGAAAAGCGUUUCCCUUCCUCUUUGCUACGCCAUUUUUUUUUUGCGCUGCAUUAAUAUUGCUCGAUCCAUCUUAUGUUUAUUCAUCUUCCGUUUUAUAAAAAAGAAGAUAUAUGUUCUCUUCUUGGUGUGGUACCUAAAUUUGGCCAGCUGUUGACGGUCGUUAUCGAUCGGUUUCGACCGUCAAUAUUACCAAAAUAGAGUAGAACUAGUUAUGCUUGCAAAUUGCAAUGCAUAUAUAUGUUAGAAUAAUAAUAUUCCACUAGUAUUAGGUGUACUAACCUUUUGCAGGGAAUAAUCAUAAAGUGGAGGAGAAUCGACAUCAACUCAGACGAUAAAUCAAUCGGACGAUGUCGACGAUCAGACUUAUGCAAUAAUCAUAAAGUGGAGGAGAAUCGACAUCAACUCAGACGAUAAAUCAAUCGGACGAUGUCGACAAUCAGACUUAUGCAUGAAUGUGCCAAGAACUCAAAAAUGACACAACCAAUUAGACCAAAGUUCACAAGUCUACGAAGGAGAGCAAUAGAGGAGGCCGCCAGCCGAAGAUGGGCCGGGAUGGCCCAGCCCAUGGUCCAUCCUGAUGCUGUUGGAUGCAGGGUUUGGCGUGGACAUCCAGGAUUGCUCCCCAAUAACGGUUAGAGGGCAUUUCCGACCAUUCCAACUGCCAUAACCGUCACUGGGAGGCUAUAAAAGGACUUCACCUCCUCACUCUCUUCACACACCUCAAGCAAGAGCUCUCUCAUAUUCUCUCAAGUUAGUUUAGUGUUAUCUAGCUAGUGGAAUAGGAAUAGAAUAGAAAUCGGGAGUCCGGAAGCCUUCGGAAGAGUUCGGGCAUGGCUCUAGUAGCUUUCCUUUCCUCUUCUGUAAGCUUUGUACUUUAUUUAGAAUACUCUUCUUUAUACAUUUAUGGUAUUGAAAUACUUUCCGAGUAUAUGAAUGUCUACUUUACAUUAUAUUCAUGUUAUAUUAAAUAUACUGCUAGCUUAUCUGGGAGAUGCUUUGAUGCGGGUAUAAUGUUUGCUUAUGCAAUUACUCUAUGUCAUGACGAUGAUAUUAGAGUAGUAUCUGGUAGUUUAGACGUGGUGUCUAGAUUAUGGGAUAUCAUUAUUUGGGGUUAUAUGCUACGGAUGAGAGGUGAGCCGCUGAUGGUGACAACUCAGUAUGGGUAUUCCUCCGCGCGUGUAUAUAGUCCUAAGUUAAUUUCCUGGGGAGGGUACUCCUCCGUAUUUAUCCCCGGUUGUAUAGUCAUGACGGGCUGUCGUAAGGAACACGGCAGUCAGGGGUGGCUUCUCGAAGUACCAGGAGGGCAUCGAAUACAGGGUAUUAACUAGUAUUUUAGAUACGUAGAAUGUAUAUAUACUUAGAAGUAUAGGAAUAGAUUUUCUUUCUUUUUUCUUUCCACUUAGCUUAGAUAAUUUAGUAUGAGAAUGAGUAACUUAAUUGCUUAUGUGUCACUCUAUCCUUGGAUUAUCUUAACUCCUGCUUAGACUUUGAUUAUCACAAGUAACAUAUAAAUUAUUAGUCAAGUUAUCUCUACAUGAUCUUUCCACGGGAUAAAAUAAAUGCGAUACCCUUGGAAUACUCUCGGGUGAAAUGCUACAAUGAUAUAUCCAUGUGCUUGCGGAUGAACUCUGCAACUAUAAUAUAUCAGAAGUAUUUCUGCGCCAUUGCUGGGAAUUAUAUUUCUAGUAAUAUCGUUAAGAAAUACCAACACCAGCCAAAAAUCAUUGGCCAACCGUGGGCCCCACACGCAUUCCUCCUCCCAUCUCCUUCGGCUCUUCUCUGCAUCGGCCCGGUGUCAAUGACGAGACGAAGGAGAGAGGCACCGGAGCUGCCUCCCUCCAUCCGCAUACCCCCAUCGCCGCCGUCCUUUGCGUCGUCGUCACCAGCCGCAACCGCCGCCGUCGUCUGUGCCAUCUCUAGUCGCGAUCGUCGCCGUUGUCCGCAUCAUCGAUAGCCGCCGGAUUCAAUGUGCCACCGACUGCUCCUCCCUCUCCAGUGCGUCCGCCUCGCUUGCCUGUGCCCCGCCUGCGCAUACGACGGCGGCCGCUCUGCCCUCCCCUCCCUUUUCCCGCCAGAGCUCCUUCUCCUCCUUAGGAUUAUACUUUUGUUUUUGUCUAAAGAUAUUCAGCAGUAAAACCAAGGGAUCAUACCCCAACAUUAAACUCGAAACAAAUUAUAUAAAUGGAUUUGCUAUACAACUGUAGAUAGUUUUAUUUUCUUAAUAGGAAUUUUAAUUUGGGCCAUUGUGUUCGCUUAAAGAUUCAUGCAAUGGGAACAGAGAAAACACAUGAUAUGGUUGCACGCGUGAAACAAAGAAUUAGAAAACAGGGGCCUCAUCUUUUCGCUUAUGUUUAUAUUUAUCAACCAAAAUUUGAAUUUUUAACCUUAAAUUUAAAGUUGAUUUUGAGGUUUUUUUAUCAAAGUUUAUUUCUAAGUCGUUGCUUUUAGAUCGCUAAGAAUACAUAUAUAAUAAUUUUAUUCAUAAAUUACUUUUCGUUUACAAAUAUGCUGUUAGGCUUAUUCCACGAAUAAGCGAAGCGAUGAGGCUGCUAGGAAUUUUAUAAGAUGUUGCACACAGGAACUGAAGAAUACAUGUAUUAUAGAGUAAAUAGUAAUCUCAUUUGGUUUUUAGACUAAAUCCUAUCCAUUUUAUCAUAUGUGGGUGUCCAUUAUUACCAUAUGCCCACCCACUCACAAGGAUCAUUGAACCAUAACACCAUCAAUGUUCCUUGUUCUUUAUGCAAAGGAUUUCUUAUAAAGAGGUUGGAUUUGAUUCUUUUUUCCUAUGAAAAGCUGAAAACAUGGGUGAGUGAAUAGCAUUCCCAUGAAAUUCAAGAGGGCCAAAUCCUUCAAACCAAAUGUAUACACAGUAGCUAAUCCUAAGGAAUCCAAAUCCUCUAUUUUCCCAUAUUUCUCAUCCAUUCGAAAGAAACCAAUACGAGUUAAGAAAAAGGAAAGCCUCUAUUUGAAAGAAAUUAACCCCCUACUCCCUCUGUCCCACAGAAAUUCAACGUAGUAUUUGAUGGUGACGUAUCAUAGUCUCUGUUUAGAUUUCUAGUACUAUGAUAUGUCAAUAUUCAGUACAAAGUUGGCUUUUUAUGGGACAGGGGUACAAGCUAAGAAAAAGAAAACAAAAGAUAGGCAGCUCACCAUCCUGUGUCCUGCCAGCCACUGGCCGCUGGGCCCCACCCGAGAUCUGAUUCACUACCGCCGCCGGAUCAAGCCACCCUCUCACUCUUUCUCACGCUUCACUCUCCUUCCUCCCACCAUCCCGAUCUCCGGCGAUGUCGCUCCACCAGCGGCCGCACCAGAAGCCGCCGGCGACCGACUCCCUCCCCGCCUCCGCCGCCGCCGCCGCCGCCGCGCCUUCUCGCCCGCUCCCACUCCUCACCCUCCCUUACCUCUUCUCCCUCCUCGCGCUCCUCCUCCUCCUCGCCCUCCUCUUCCCCUGGGGCCCUCCCAGCCACUCCUCUGCCCCCGCCUCGCCGUGGCGGGGGUACACGCUCCAGGAGGCCGCCGCCUUCGCCGCUCGCGCGGGAAACGGCACCAUCGUCCUCGCCGCCGUCUCCGGGCCCUACCUCCCCUUCCUCUCCAACUGGCUCAUCACCGUCCGCCGCGCCGGCCGCGCCGACCAGGUGCUCGUCGUCGCCGAGGACUAUGACACGCUCGAGCGGAUCAAUGCGGCGUGGCCGGGACACGCCGUCCUCGUGCCCCCCGCGCCCGACGCCCAGGUCGCCCACAAGUUCGGAUCCCAGGUGAGAGGACUGGUUUCCGGGGGGUGCGCGCCCCCCAGAUGCUCGAUGAAAUGCCAGCGCGAGUGACUCUUGCCUUUCUGCUUGUGAUUGUGCAGGGGUUCUUUAACUUCACCUCGCGGCGGCCGCGGCACUUGCUGCAGAUUCUUGAGCUAGGGUACAGUGUCAUGUACAACGAUGUCGACAUGGUGUGGCUCGCCGACCCAUUCCCGUAUAUCGUCGGGGAUCAUGACGUGUACUUCAUGGAUGAUAUGACUCCUGUACGUGCAAUUGUUGUGUUUGUCAUUGGAACUGCCUAGAGGAGAACUUAUUGGGGUUGAGUUUGUGGAUGCAGGUGAAGCCAUUGGAUCAUUCACAUGAGCUGCCACCACCUGGUAAGAAGGGGCGGACUUACAUCUGCAGCUGCAUGAUAUUCCUGCGGCCAACGGAAGGGGCUAAGCUGCUAUUGAGGAAGUGGAUUGAGGAGCUCAAGGAGCAGCCCUGGUCAAAGAAGCAGAAAGCAAAUGAUCAGCCAGCAUUCAACUGGGCUUUGAACAAGACUGCAGGACAGGUUUGUUCCACUAGAUUUUAUUUCUUAUAAUGCAACAUUGCAUCCAGACAGGACACAGCUUGCUCAAGUAUUUCUUGUGGUUACAUGUAUUGACUUCAUGCUUUGGAGCAUUUGGUUGAAUUGCAUCUGCAUAUACUAGGAUAAUUUUGGGAACAAUUAGCCAGUUGAACCAACUAUUAGUUUGCUUUAGUGCGGACAACAGAGCUAAGUAUUAUUUUGACAUAGUAAUUCAAAAGUACGCAUAGUAAUAUUAUUUGCAACUGGAAGGUGUGGGGUUGGGUUUUUACUAUUGCCUGCAUUACAUUGUUGUUGGUGCUACUCAGUGCUGGGUUGGUUAGGGUUGAUUACUAAACCAGUUGGAGUUGAUUUUAGCAUGAGUACUGCUUCUAUACCAGAUUCAGUCAGGGUGGUGACUGGUGUACACUUAAUUGAUCAAUGGAUAGGCCUGGUUCAAGUGCAAACUGGCUUGCAUUGUUUUUAAGUGGAAGAAUGAAGAGACACUAAAUCAUCAUUUUUGUACUAAAUAAAAGGCUUGUCAAAUCUGUUCUUUAAACCGAACAACAAAAUCUCUGCCAAUAUUGGCCAUCAGCACUCAGUUUUUCGAAUUUGAAAGUUGAGUACAUAUUAUCUCUGAAGAUAAUCCCUUUUUUUUCUUAACUAUCACGAGGAGUUUCCUGUGGUCAAUUUGGGAUCAGUGAGCUCUGCUAUCUCCUUGUGAGUCCCUUAAUCUUUUUAGUACAUCUUGUAGUAAAGAUAAUCCUUUUUCUUAAAAUUUAUGAUCUCCCUGUAACCGGUCGAACAUGCUGCCCAUUCUAGCUUCUAGAUAUCUCUAUUACUCUAAAAGGGGAGUUUCAUUCCUCUGCUCACCCAUCCCAUUGCGAGACCGUUCACGCCAUCUCCUCUCCGAAAAAGCAAACAAACAAACAAAAAAGUUCCACCCAAAAACCUGUGAAAGACCAACCCAUCGAUAAAAACCGGAUAGAAAAAAGUAAACCAUCCAAAAAACCGAACCACUGUAUGGGGGUUGAACUGUGAGCACAUCCUUCCCCUAGAUCCUGUUGUAACGCAUGUGCAUGUUACUAGUUGUAUUUAAUAUCCCUUCUACUUUGCUUUUUGUUCUAUAUUUUGGUAGUAUCUUGUCAAUUUUACAUUUUAUUCUGCUUUGUUGUAAUACAGUAUGUUCCUGGAUCUUUGCCCCCAAACAGUCUUUGGAAACUAUUAAUGUAAGAUAUACAUGCAGGUAGAUGUGUAUCUGCUGCCUCAGUCUGCAUUUCCAACUGGAGGUUUAUAUUUUAAGAAUAAAACAUGGGUAAAGGAAACAAAGGGCAAGCAUGUCAUCAUACACAAUAACUAUAUCACAGGAUUUGAGAAGAAGAUAAAACGGUUUCGUGAUCAUGGGCUAUGGCUUGUCGAUGAACAUAGUGAUGAGUCACCACUUGGUAGAAUAUGAGCAAGCUGGCAAAGCUACACCACAUCUGUCCUUGCAACAGCAUCAAACUUUUGCAGCUGGUGUUUAACUGGUUGGGAUUGCGGAACCGUGGGAUUGAUUUGCCAUCCGCCACACAAAAAUACAGCAACUGGAUAUGUGCAGUAGUUUUUAAUUGUACAUCAAGCCCCUUUCAGAGCGACCUGUUGUCAUGAUGAUUAUUUUUAUUUCAUUAUCUUUUACGAAUACGGCAGCAGUAAGAUCUUAGGGUGAGAAUGUAGCUAUUUAAGGGAAUGUGGCCACAAAUAUUAGCGAGUCAAGUAGUAACUCAUUGGUCUAUAUGUAUAGCAUGGUAAUUUUGUUAACCUGUAGGCAUUUUUUUUGACACUGGAUUGUGUUUAAUAUUAUUCUUUUUACCUCCUUUCAUAAAGAACUCUAACUGUCAUGUGUGAUGGCCUGCUGGGUGUCCACAAAACUGUGCUAAUGAUGACUUGUAAGUUGUAAUUCCGUAUAUAAUUAUUUAACAUGCUCAGGUAAUCCCUUGCUUUUCUUUACCAUCGCAAUGCAACACAUGAGAUGAGUAGACCUUUCUUAGUAUGCAUUAAAUAUGGCAUGCCUCUCUGAAACAUACAGGACACACAGGACUAUGAUGAAGUGGCACAAGAUAAGAUGGCUACAUAUAAGAGGGAUCAGGAUUCACGGCUGUAUCAUGUGAAUUUUGGAGCAUAAAGCUUCAGUUCGAGGCUUUGGGCCUUGUGACCUUCUCGUCUCUCCAUGUCUAUUAUUUUUCUUCACACAAACCUGCGGAGCUUGAUGCGUCAGGAUCGAAUCGCCUGUUUUGGCUCAUUCCAUUCCAGCCAAAACGCUUGCGAUUGGAGUAAGAAUCCAAGAACCAGUGUGGCUGCUGCCAUUGGACCCUUUCCUUCUCUGGUGCCUCCCAACUUUGCUUCCAGCAGCGGUAAUGCCGUUGCCUUUGCCACACACAACGAACACCGGCGCGCACACAUGUAUAUAUGCUUCUGCCCAUGCUCGGAUCUGCACAGAAAACACCAUAUUUCUUCCUUGUGAUCACGAGCUAACCUUGCAUCUCUCAUUGUCUUUGGCAAGGAUCGAUGGGCCAGGCUGCUGCCAAGGCGAAGCAAGGUACUAUGAACACAAAGAUCCAUUUAUUUAUUUAUUUUAUUUUUUGCAUGGAAAGAUCCAUAUAAUUGCUUAGGAUUAUUAAUUUCCUACUGUUAUUUUGUCAACCGAUAGGUAGAUUUAACAGUUUGGUGUAUAAUUUUGAUUUAACAGUUUGGUGUAUAAUUUUGCUUAGUGAUUUGCAUGUGUAUGUAAGAAUUCAGAUGAUAGGUGUAUAGGAGGAUUGAUCCUUAAUUUUUUGUUGAUAGGUGGCGAUCAGGCAGAGAACAAGACUGGCAAGGACGAGAAGGUUGCGAAACCUAAGGAUGCCAAGGAUCUCACCGACUUCAUGGAAAAAAACUACGACUCGAUCAAGGACGUGACAAGCUUCGAAGAUUUCUACCAUGCCUUCUACGAGCUCAUCGAGUAAGUUUUGAUCUGAUCCAGUCUUGGCCAAGCUCAGAGUCCAGCUUAAUUUCUCAUUUUCAGUUUUGCUACACAUGGUUGGUUAGGUAGUCUAGUUGAACCAUUGGAGGAAUGAUGGAAUUCUCACUUCAUGCCUAAGCAUUUUUGUUAAUUCUAAAAACUGGAACAAGAAAAGUUAGAACAGUAGGAUCGUAUUCAUUUUUUUAAAAGAUAAAAGAGCAGGAUUAUAUUCAUAGAAGACAAUGGCGCCAUAUUAAGCAGUAGGAUAUGAUAUAAAACAUCGAUACAUGCAAUGACAUUGUUACCUAACCAUUUGUUUCUGUUACUUUGCCUUCCUCUUCAGAAAAUUCUGUGAGGAACGUGGGCAAUUGCAGUACAGGAUACCGGAAAAAGCGGAACUUCAGAAGCAGUACGAGGUUAGAGACAACUCUGACUUGUUUAAUUUGCUUACUUCAGUGUACAACUCUUCGACAGAAGCUUCACCUUUCCUCCGAGAAUUGUUGCAAAUGGUUUAGACACCAUAAUUGAAGGCAUUGGCAGCCAAAACUUAAGUAUGCCAUGGGUUGUAAGCAUGCCAUUCUUUGGUAGUCCUCAGCCUCAGCCCCAUAUAUAUGUUAGUAUACACUUAAUUUCUUAUCAAAUUUUAAUUCAUUUAUGGACAAUAAAUUGUUGUCCAUGCUUUUGUAUGGCAUUCUACGCUUUUUUGAUAAAGUGAGGUGUGGUGAAGUUAGCCACCAACUAAACAUGUCCUAACUGUAUACAUGUAUUCAUAAUAUGCCGUUCAAUCAAUAUAUUGCAUAAGUUAUUUCUAGGGGUUAUCUAUUUGUCAAAUGCCUGUUUUUUUUCUUAUCUACCGAUAGGAGAAUAUAUUUCUUUAGACAGAAACUUUCUUCAAAAUCUUUCAAAUAUAUUUACAGUAUAAUUAAAAUAUAAUUACAUUGUAACUUAUAUAUAAUUAUUUGUAUGUAACUAGCAUCUAAAUUUCAAAAAACAUGUAGUAGUGCAGUGGUAGUGCACGGAUUUUUGGAAUCUAGCAUGAACCUUAAGGCAAAUCAAACAGCCUAUUAAAUUCGACAGAUUUUUUUGAAAAAAGAACCGUCUAUCGAUUACUUUUUUAUAACUAGAUCACUAAUUUACAACUUACAUGCCGAUUUUUCUUUACUCAGGUGAAAAAAAUCAGCUUGCUACUCCCUCCGUUCAUAUUAUGAGUCGUUCGACUUUUUCCUUAGUCAAAAUUCUUUAAGUUUGAUAUAAUUUGUAAAUAUAGUAACAUUUUUAAUAUAAAACAAAUAUAUUAUCAAAAUAUAUUCAAUGUUAAAUUUAAUCAAACUAAUUUAGUGUUGUAGAUGUUGUUAUUUUUUUUCUAUAAACUCGAUCAAACAAAAAUAAAUUUACUAAGAAAAAAAAUCAAACAACUUAUAAUAUGAAACGGAUAAAGUAUAUUAUAUUAUUUCUUCAACAAGAUUAAUAAAGGAGCUCAUGUAAUUUAACUAAGUUUGGUGGUAGCGCAGAGGGUGAACAAGAGCCCCCAGAAGGGGCAGAACCUGAGCAGGAAGCAGUUCAUGGAGCUGGCCGGGCAGGUGAUCAAGGUGAACAGCUUCACCUUCGGCAAGGCCACCAUGGACGUGCUGGUCGUCCUCUUCGGCGCCCCCGUCUGCGCCCUCCUCGCCAAGAGGGUCGUCCCGGGCCUCAAGUCCUUCUCCGACGACGUCGUCAUCCCCGUCGCCACCUCCGGCGCCGUCGUCUACCUCGCCAAGACCAACAAGCUGUGAUCGAGGUGAAUCGAUCGUUCCAGAAUCAUAUCCAGACUAUGGCUAACAAAUUAUCGCGAGAAUAAAGGUGAGGGAGAAAAAACGUACGUGGUGUCAUGUCGUAUAAAGUUUGCGUUGUGGCCUUGGUUAAAUUUCGCCCAAAUUGUAAAGAUUAUUUGAGAGUGGAUUUUUAUAUUCACUCUCUUUUAUAUGUCUUCACUGUUCACACCUGUGAAAUCUAGGAGAAAUCUGUAUAAUAAUAUUCGUAAAAUCUGAUAUGUGCACAUGCACGAAUCCUAGUUCGUCCCCAAAUGCUAUUUCUCCAUUCUCUCAUUAAGCCACAUCACCCUAAUUAUUUCUAGCAAUUGAAUGAUAUAUCUAUGGCUUAAAUUUUCUCUUCUUUCUUCUCUCAUAACACCAAGUAAUCUCAAUCAUUUUAAUUUAGGCUUCAAAAUUUAUAAGAAUCAAUUUGUUUUAGUUUUAAUAUUUAUAUCUCAUCUUAUUUAUAUACAUAUUUUGCAACUUAAUUUCCCGCAGCAGCGCGGCGGGGUAUUCAUCUAGUUAGUAUUACGGUGCGACACCUCUAAAUACCAUCCAAUCAAAGCAAUCCGUACUUCUAUAAUGUUUCCAAAACCCUUUGCACACUUUUUUAAAAAGAUUUUACCUCUGCGCUUUGGAUAUAAAUCCUUCUUACUUAUUAGUCUAUUUUUAAUCUUUAAGAACUUAUAUAUAUCAAACCGUAUAUUAUUUUAAAGAUUUGGUUUAGUUAUUGAAUUUCACUCAAAAUAUGACAGAACAAGUCCAAUAUUAAAUAUAUUAAAAUAUUGAAAAAUAAUUUACUUAAUUAGUAGAAGUAAGUUCUAGUAACCUUGUUUUCAGAUAGAAGUAGUUUUGAUUCUAUAUUGAAGUAACUCUCUAUUCAAGUGUUUGAUAGAAGUAAUUUGAUUUUCGAUAUAAGUAAUUUGGUUCAGAUAGAACUAACUUUGGCUCCAGAUAUAAGUAACCUUAUUUUUAGAUAAAAGUAAUUUACAUGGUUCGAUACAGUAUCAAAAAAGUUAGAAAGGAGAAAAUGUCAUAAGUACCGGUGAAAUUACAUCUCAGAAAAGGUUUCACAGAAAGUUACUUUAAAAAGUUUAUUUCCUGGAAUUACUUCCAUAAAUAUGGAAGUUACUCCCCAUAACUUCUGAGUAACUUACGAAAUAUUUUGGCUUUUAAAUUAAGGCACACUAUAAAUCAAUGUUCUGCCUUAUCCUUCCGUUCACUAAUUCAGAUGUAAGGAAAAUAGUAUCUAGUUAUGCGAAAAAGGUGAAAAAAGCAAUUCAAUAAAUUCUAGAAGUAACUUGCACACCGGAAGAAUGUAACAUACAUAUACCAGGGAAGUAAUUUUAAUAAAACUUAACUGCUUGUCCCCUAUAAAAGAGAGAAAAUGUUAUGUUUAAAAAGGGAUGCUUAUUUGACCCGUUUUAAACUCUAACUACCAAUUUGACCAUAUAUACCUUUUGUACUUUACUUAUUUGACCCUCCUUUUCAAAAACGAACCUCCCGUCUGACCCUGUUUCCACUCAUCCGUUAAGGUUUGAUUUUUUUUUUAAAAAAAAAAGAAAUGUGAUUAAUAUUUGUAAUGCCCAAAGUACCCUCAGAAACCCUAUCCACACACCCCCCCUCUUUCUCUCUCUUGUGAGUUGCAGGCUUGCGGCGCCGACCGGUGCCAGAGGAAAGAAGCGGCGACGCCGGCGCAGGCGCGCAGAAGGAGGGAGUAGGAGGCGGCAGCAGCGACCGCCGCGUGGAGGGAAGAGGAGGCGCCGCCGGCGCGCGGAGAAAGGAAGGCGGAGGGCUCGGCGAUGGAGUUGUGAUGGCUGGAUCCAGUGAGAAAGGGGCGACGACGGCUCGGCGGCGACGAGAAGUGUAGGCGGUGCUCCAUAGCUACGGGCCGGCGCUGGCUCACCUUCUCGCCGCUCGCCACCUUCUCCCUAUGAGUGGAGCUGUGGAGGAGAGAAGAAGAGAGAAGAGAGAAGAGAGAAGAGAGGAGGAGAGGAGAAGAGAGAACUGACGGGUGGGUCCCACAUGUAAUAGGGUCGAAUAAGUAAGGGCAGAAGAGAUAUUUUAUGCUUCAGUUAACACCGUUAGAUGCCAUUAACAGAAUAGGGUCAUAUUGUAUGUUCAAUUUUAAAAAGAAGGGUCAAAUAAGCAAAGUUGAUAAAAUGUGGUCAAAUUGGUAGUUAGUUUUGAAAAGAGGGUCAAAUGAACAAUUUCCCCGUUUAAAAAUUAGAAGCAACUACAUGCAUGGAUGUACAAAAUAAAAAUUGUGCACAUAGGUGGGAAAAAAACAUAAUAAGACAUAAAUUGCAUAAAAAAGCAGGAAACCAAUACUUGUAACGUGGUAUAAAAAAUUACUUCUAAACCAUGUAAAGUUACUUACCAAUGGCAUAUAAAAAGCAACUCCAACAACCUAUCCAUCUUAUUCUUCAAGUCAAAAUUUAGCAAACCUGACCAGGCUUGUCAUCCAACAUGCCAAUCAACUUACACUCUAAGGUCAUGUUGGGCUCAUGUUAUAGAACCCUAUGUCUUCUCAUUUUGUUCAUGAUUUCUUCCUCUUUUUCUACUUUUUAAUAAAUUUUUAAUGGUGAUACUCUCGUGAAAGUGGAGGUGGAAGAGAAGACAGUGGUGUCCGCGGGCAAUUGUGCUGUCCGCCGCAGAAGGCAAGAGAAGAGAGUAACGAAAGAAUAGGGGUGUCAAUUCCUUGUUGGGGCGGGUCCCCACCUCUACGGGGCCAGGGCAAGGGCAAAAUUUGCACCCGUAGGUCCAUGGGGGCGGUGAAGGGUUUCAAUUCUCACCUGUGUUCUUUCCCGGGUGAUUGUGAGUGAGUUUGUUUCGUUUUCCGCGCGCACGCUUCCCGAACUACUAAACGGUGUAUUUUUUGUAAAAAUUUUCUAUAGGAAAGUUGCUUUCAAAAAUCAUAUUAAUCUAUUUUAAAGUUUAAAAUAGUUAAUACUUAAUUAAUCAUACGCUAAUGGCUCACCUCGUUUUGCGUAUCUUCCCAAUCUUCUCUAUCUCCUUCUCCUUCAACAUAGCCUUAAGUUCACUUUGACUCCCUGAAAAAUGGACCAAAUCUAUUUCAUGACCCUCAUUUGCAUACCAGAUAUGUUAACCCCUUAACUCUUAAAGCCGGUGCAAAUUAACUCCUAGUGUAGUAUUGAUAGUAGUAUUUGCUGACAUGGCGUCCACGUGGCAUCCUAGUCAUCAAAGAUAAAUAAAAAUUUAAAGUGGGACCCACUUGUCAUACUCCUUCUUCCUCUACCCUUCUCUGUUUCUACCCUCAUGUUUCACGACGGCAGAGGGGGUACACGGCGCGGCGGGCGAAACCGCGACUGGGAGCGUGCUCCCAUCUCCCCCGACGCAUUCCGUCGCACUAUCGCCAUCUCCGCCGCCAGAAUCGUCCCAUCCGCCACCGUGCUUGGCUUGCUCCCUGCCCACCGCGGCGAAUCGUCCUGCCAGUCACCGCCGCACCCUCGCUGUCGGAAUCGUCCCGUCCGCCGUUGCCCGUUGCGCGCCCCCUGUUGCCCGCCGCGCCGUGCACCCCCUCUGCCGCCGUGAAACAUGGGGUAAAGCGUGUGGGGGUAGAGGAGGAAGAAGUAUGAUAGUUGGGUCCCACUUUAAUUUAUAUUUUUCUUUGAUGACUAGGAUGUCACGUGGAUGCCAUGUCAGCAAAUACCACUAUCAAUACUGCCCUAGAAGUCAUGUUGCACCGGUUUUAAGAGUUAAGGGGUCAACAUAUCUGAUAUUGCGAUUGAGGGUCAUGAAUUAGAUUCGGUCCAUUUUUAGGGGGUCAUAGCGAACUUAUUCCAAACACAUAGUAUACAUUGAUAGCCCAUUCUAAAACAAGCCCACCAAAAGCCCAAGAAAAACCUUAGUACUCCCAACCUUAUCCCAAAAUCAUCUUUGUUUUUCUCUUGCAGGCAGGACACGCGCUGCCGCCGCUUCAACUCCGUAUCCUCUCGCGAGCUAGCGUUAGGUAGGGAGCCAAGCUAGCUGCUCCAUUCUUUCCUCUACUCUCUGCUCCUGUCUUGCACAGCCGCGAGCCCCUGAAACCGGGAGGAUAGAGCAGUGCUCAUCGAUGGAUGAACGGUUAAGAUGGAAUCAACCGGGGGCCAUCGCAGGUUGAUCCGGAUCCCUCCGCGGCUCCGCCGAAUAUCCGCCGCGCUGCUGCCUGCUGCCUGCUGUUGCUGCUAUCCAUCCUCUCCUCUCCACCUCGCUUCCGCUCGUUCGUUCCUCUUCCCCCUCACCCACCUGGUCGCCACCCCCCAACCCCACCGGCGUCCGAGCCCGCUCCGCUCCGGCCUCCUCCUGCGAGGUAUUCUUCUCUCCUCCUCCGGCCUACUACGCGCUAGUGAACAGUGAGCAGGCGUAGAGUAGAAUGGAUAGCUGGUUUUCGCUUGCUUGGAUCGUUCCGAGCGUUCCCUUCUUCUCUGUUUACUGCGUGGCGGAGGAGUACUGUGUAAGCAGUAGUAGUUCGUUCCCCUCAGAGAAAAAGAAGAAGAGGAUUUUCAGCUCAAUCCUGCUUUAUUAGCUAUUCGUGUUUUUCGUUUUUUUGGUUUGGACGAAAGCCAUGCGCCCGGAUUUACUGUAAGCGAAACAAUCUGGAUUAGCUAUCGCCGUUCUUGCACCUGCUUUAUUUGUCAUUUUGUGCUUACCUUGUAAUUUGUAAUGAAAUUUAUGUGCUGUAACCUCUAAAUAAUUAUGCUGGCCUUUUUUCACUGAACUUGAAUUUGUAUGGGUUAUCUCUGCAGGCCAUCGAUAUAGCUAACCGUAGUGGAAGAUAAAGGACAUGAAAAUGGCACAUAUGGUAACUAACUGUAGUUUCAGCCCUUCGCCUGCAGUUAAGACGUACUCGAAAUCUCCUGGUUAUUGCUGCAAUGUGACCCAAUUCCAGAGCUCAAAAUGUUCCAAUCUAGUGCUCAAAUCAUGUACUGCGACAAGACCGAACAGGCCAUUUGUCGCUCGUGCUAGCGCUGCUGUACAAGGACAGACACAAACACCCCUUACUGGAAGUCAGCAAGCAUCUGGGCACUCAUCCUCUAAACCCAAAAAGGUCAUGGUUAUCGGCGGAGAUGGCUACUGCGGCUGGGCAACCGCACUUCAUCUCUCCAAUAAAGGAUACGAGGUUGCCAUUGUUGACAAUCUUGUGCGGCGCCUUUUUGAUCACCAACUUGGCCUGGAUUCCCUCACACCCAUAGCCUCCAUCCAGAAUCGCAUCCGUCGGUGGAAGGCUCUAACCGGAAAGACGAUUCAGCUCUAUGUUGGUGAUAUAUGUGACUUUGAUUUCCUUUCAGAAGCCUUCAAGUCUUUCGAGCCGGAUUCUGCUGUCCACUUUGGUGAGCAGAGAUCAGCGCCAUAUUCUAUGAUUGAUCGUUCCCGUGCGGUAUUCACUCAGCAUAACAAUGUUAUCGGAACUCUUAAUGUAUUAUUUGCCAUUAAGGAGUUCAGUGAAGAAUGCCAUCUGGUCAAACUAGGAACCAUGGGUGAGUAUGGAACUCCAAAUAUUGACAUUGAAGAAGGGUUCAUCACUAUUACCCACAAUGGAAGAACUGAUACCUUGCCUUACCCAAAGCAAGCGAGCUCCUUCUACCAUCUAAGCAAAGUGCAUGACUCGCACAAUAUAGCAUUUACAUGCAAGGCUUGGGGUAUAAGGGCCACGGAUCUUAACCAAGGUGUUGUAUAUGGAGUGAGAACAGAUGAAACUGCAAUGCAUGAAGAACUAUCCAACAGGUUUGAUUAUGAUGGCGUCUUUGGGACAGCACUGAAUAGGUUCUGUGUUCAGGCUGCUGUAGGUCAUCCACUUACAGUUUAUGGAAAAGGUGGUCAGGUAUGUCUUUAUUCUCUGGCUCAUAGUGCCAUCUAAACUGUCAUUUGUUUUUUUCUUCCCUCUAUGCUCUUUUUUCUAUCAUAAGGCAGGUUUGCAGCAUUACUAACUGUGGUUCAUGAUAUACUUCCAGUUGCUGUCAUUGUUGUAUUCCCCCCAAAAAAUAAAUGGUUAAAAUUGUCAGUAUGCAUCAUAUAAUCUUGUACGUUAACAUACCAGUUAACUUCUGUUACCAUGGAACCUCAGGAUGUGAGACGUUAUUGUCACUAUUUCAUAAAUUUGUCUGACACAAAACAUGGUUGUGAACAAUGCAGGCUGUAGCUUAUGGCAGCAAGUACUGAAAUUUAACAUACUACAGAAAGUAAAUUUCGUUCUUAUGUCAAUUGUUCCUUUGCCGAUAGUUUAGAUAUUUUAUGAGUCCCUAAAAUCUUUCCAUUUUUCUUCAGACCAUUGCAAAGUGCUACUCAGUUCAUCACAAAACAAACGGUUGUCUAGGACAUAGAAAUGAAACAAUCUUAUGAACUGCUGAACACUGGUCUAUGACGUUUUGGAAUUUCUAUCUUGAUAAUUACCACAUCAGAUAAAUUUUCAGUUCAGUAGCAUAUAUGUACUGACCAAGAUUCUUCCUCCCUGCUCCGCAGACCCGUGGAUAUCUGGACAUCAGGGAUACAGUGCAAUGCGUAGAGCUCGCAAUCGCCAACCCAGCCAAACCAGGUGAGUUCAGGGUCUUCAACCAGUUCACCGAGCAGUUCUCGGUCAACGAGCUGGCAAAGCUGGUUACGGCCGCCGGUGCAAAGCUUGGGCUGGAGGUGCAGACCAAGUCGGUGCCCAACCCGCGGGUGGAAGCGGAGGAACACUACUACAACGCCAAGCACACCAAGCUCAUGGAGCUCGGCCUGGAGCCCCACCUGCUGUCGGACUCGCUCCUCGACUCGCUGCUCAACUUCGCCGUCCAGUACAAGGACAGGGUCGACACGGCGCAGAUCAUGCCCAGCGUGUCGUGGAAGAAGAUGGGGGCGAAGCCGAAGACGGUGUCCGUCUAAGAGGAGGCUGGUUUUGCCAUGGCGGGGUAUAAUGUCAACCGUGACAUUGACAUUAUAAAUUUGGUGUGUAGUAAUGCAAUAAUUAUGUGCGUUUAGUAUAAUGCACGUUGUAGUGGGUGUGGUUACGGUGUUAGAUUUCUUUUUUGUUCUUCCUCACGAAUAGAUGCUGCAAUCUGAUCGAAGGGGAUUCCUUCUGUAUUUCUGUUGUAAACUUUUAUCCAGCUCUUGAUCAGCAAAUGGGUAUCCAGGAUGCAGGGGGGUAUUUGAGCCUUUUUUUUUUUUUGAGUGUUUCCGAACUGAAGAUGGUGUAAUAAUACCAUACAUACCACUAAUUUCUUUUAUUGUUAAUUGAACUUAUAAAAUAGUAAUAUCGCGAAAACAUUUUCCAACUGACAGUUCUACCAUAGGAAUAAAGCGGUGGUAGAAAUUCACAUCUGAUUGGAUACUGUAAAUGUGGUACUUCCGUAAAGGUGGUACUGUUUUCGAUUCUAACGAUAAUUUGAUUUUUUCAAAUUUCAAUGAACGUCGCAGAUGUCGUCCCUAAAUUGUUGAAUUGAUAAAUAUAGAGAAUUCAUGACCGACCGAGAACGUAUAUAGGAAUAAGUCCACUUGUUGACCCUCAUCUUUUGAGUUUAAAUUUUGUCCCUAAACCAUCAUAUCGAAAAAAUUGACCCCCCCUCCUCAACUUGCAUAUCUGGAUUAAAUUAGGUCUCAGUAGUAUGGUGGUUGGUUUCACUGACGUCGCAUCCUAGUUAGCAAGAACCAAAAAAAACUUAUGAGACCUACGUGUAAGUGGCCACCUCGCUUUUUUCCUCUACUUCCCCUCUCCUAUUCAGCGAAAAGAAAAUAGGAUGCCAUAUCACUCGUGUUAGUGAAACCAAUCAUCCAUACUGUCAUAAGAUCUAAUUUAAUCUGGUUUUACAAGUUGAGAGGUCAAGAUUUUAGGUCAAGAUUUUUGGUAUUGUGGUUUAGAAAUACGAUUUAUUAAACUCAACAGUAAGAUGAGAGACAUCAUGUGGACUUAUUCCACCUAGGAAGAUAUGAUAUUGUUUCUUGGGCCUCUUAUCUAGGCCAGGUGGAGGUGUGGUCUUUACGAGGUCUCCUGGGCUUACGGCUCCAUGCAACGCGACACCUGGUGCUGGUGGGGCCAUAGCUCGAUAGUAGUGUUCACGUUUCCGUCAAAAUUCGGUCAAAAACCGCGAACGUUGAAAGCAGAUUUCGAGGUAAUUUUCAAAUCAUUUUCGAGAAAUUAAAGUUUCUGUUUUCAAACAAUUUUCGAGAAAUUCAAACUUAAAACAGCAAAUUCGAGCAAAAGUUAGUCGGUGAAAACUCUCUCAUCGUCAGGGGUCGGUAACAUUCUAUUUCUACCCAAAGUUUUUCAUGCGUAAAUCGAAAUACAGCAACAAGUGCAGAGCACGGAAUUAAGAACGGGACCAUGGAUAAAUUACUCCAAAAUGGAAUGAUCUCGUUGAUCAGAGCUACCUAAUUUCUGUACAUGUUCUUGACCUGCCUUCCUGCCAGGUCGAUGCGCGAGACAAUUAACAGAGGCUAAAUUUCCAUCUCGAUCUGACGGCCUCAGGCAUCGUCGUCUCGCCGCGAUUCGCCUCUCGCAAAUCGACGUUCCGGCGGCCGGGCACUCGAUCGAACAGUCGAUCAAGAUUUCACAGCUGCCGCGACGACGAUGACGACGACGACGACGGCGGCGGUGACGACCGAGCAGGCGGAGGCGGCGGCGGCUGGUAGGUGCCGGCGACCGCGGCGGCGGCGACGACGCCGUCGCUGCCGGCCGCGGGGAAGAAGGCGAGGGAAACCACCAGCAGGAGCAGCACCACGGGGAGGAGCAGCAGCAGCGACGGCAGCACGAGCGGGAGCAGCAGCAGCACCGCGGCCGCCACCGCCAGCAGCACCGCCAUCGCCUUGCCCCCGUCCAUCACCGGCGACGCCGACGACGACGACGACGACGCCGCUUCUUCUUGCAUCUCGCGGCAGAUCAACUAGCCCAGGUGAUAUAGAGAGCAGAAGCUCUAGUCGCUAGCUAGGCUCGCGGCCGGUGUCACGUACGGCGACAUGGACCAUAUAUUCGUGACAUUGACAUGGUGCUCUAAAUUCUAAUGGUGGUUUGGUUGGCGCGAGAGCGAGUAGCAUGCAGCAGGAGCAGUACUCCUGCAGUAGAGUCAAGUGGCGGCGUGGCGUCUGGUCGAGGAAGCAGAUAGACAGGUUGGUUGGUCGAGGCGCCCCGGGGGGGGGGGGGGGGGGGGGGUGGGCGAGAGCCCGCGGUUUUUCGGGCACGUGACUGUGGAUGCCGAACCUGGAAUGGAAAAAGCUUCGGCGCGCGCAGGUGGGUUGGGGGGAUUCUCUGAAUUUGAGCGACACAUAGCUUAUCUUUGCUUUGAUUCUAGUCACCAGACUUUAGUUAGAGAUCUCAAUCGUUCUCGCGCGGGGUUUUAUUUAAGAUAUUUUUUCGUUCCACAAUUAUUUACAACUCCCUCCGUGACUCCGUCCCAAAUAUUACCGAGUUUGAUUUUCCUUUUUAAAAAAAAUGUGCCCUACAGUUUGGGACGGAGGGAGUACCUGGCUUAGGUUUUUUUUCUCCAUCGAUAUUUAGAUUGAGUGGUAAAAUAUAUUUUCUUCAAUUUUUAAAAUAAGGUAAAUUUGAUCGUCGUCUCUAUAUGACCCAAUUGUUCACUAGGAAAAAAAACAUUUUUCCAGAACCACUCUUAUAAAUCAAUUUUUAUUUCCGGUCAAAAAUAUUUUCAACCAUUAUUUCUUCAAUCUAAUGGUUGAAAAUAUUUUUUCAGACGCAAGAAAAUUCGCAUUUGUGAAAAUGGUUGAGUCCAUCUCAGGUCAUAGAUUUGGUAAAAAAACACAUGUUAAAAAAAAUCAGUUUUCACCCUUAAAAUAUAGAAAAAUCAUAACUCUUUCGUAUAAAGUCAGAUAUUAGAAACUUUAUAGAAAAAAUUAUAUCUUUCGAUGAUAUAUAUAAAUAUUGUUGAAAGUUUUUUCAUUUAAGAUUAUUUACAGGUUCCUAUUUUUUAUUUUCGUAGCCGGUUCUAUCCUCUAUGUAAGAAAACCACACUUAAAAAUAAGAGCACCACUAAAAUAUGAAAAAAAAAAUCGAAAUAAAGUCAGAUCAAAAUUUAUAUGUAAAUUAUAGCUCUCGAUGAGGUUUACAUCUUUUUAGUUGGAACUUUUCUUUCAAAUAGAUAUUUUAAGGGUUUAAAUUUUUUUUUUAUUAUGAGAUCUAUUUCUUAAAUUGUUUCUUUAGUUUUCCAAAUGAUAUUGAAUGAAGACAUAUCCUAUAUUAAAUUUGUAGUUCUCAGCAAGAUAAGUUUAGUUGAAUGCUUUUACAUAUAAUUGAGCGACCGUGUAUAGAUACCUAUUAAAAUACAAGGUUUUUUUUAGAAAAAACUAAAAAUUCGUUUUCAGGGGCAGCUGAAUUUUCACUUAUGUAUCUCUUGGUUAUAACUUGAUCGAUAAAGACCAUCUAAACGUGUUACAAACUGCCCUCACAAAAGGUAUUCUUAUAUUUGUUUUAAUCCCAUGUAGAUAGUCGAAUCUAUGAUAUACUAAAAUUUACUUUUCUCUGGUCCACGACUCUAUUAUAAGGUCCAACAUUUCUUGUCAAUCAAUCCAUAAUAUAUGGCCUGCCAUUUAUAUGGAUUUGAAACAAUAUAAAAUUUCAUAUCUGAAAAUUUACCUAUUUCAUACUUUCUCUGUCCCAAAAUACAAGACCUUGGUAUCGGAUAAGACAUUGAGAGAAUCUAUUCUAUACCACUGAGUUUGUUCGAGUUCAACAAUUUACCAUUGACAUUGUCUAUUUCUAUAAUAUACCGGUGACUUUAUCAAUUGUUUUACGAUACACCAUCGGAUUGGACCUUCUUUUCAAAAAUACCCAAAAUAUCCUUAGAGACAUAAAAGAUUAACAAUUGAUUUAUCUCAUCAGAAGAUUUUAAAAAAUAUGAAAAAAAUUUAUGUGGCUUACACAACAUGGAAGUUUGUCUAUAAGUUUUAAGUUUUUCCUGGUAUAUUUAGUUUCUUGAAAAAUAUUUUUAUGUGGUAUAUGAGAGAGAAUUUGCUAAUACAAGAGAUAAUAUCACAAAAAUAUCUUAUGUAGUAUAUGAAACAUGAUUUAUAUUAAAAACAAUAAUAAACAAGUAUUUUAUAUAGCAUAUAACGGAUAAGUUAUUUUUUAAUGAAAAAUAGUAAUGUAAACUUCUAUACCAAUUUCCAUGCUGCGUAAAGAGGCCAUAUUUUUUUUUUGAAACUUCUAAUGAGAUAAAUCAAUUGUUAACCUUAUAUGUCCAUAAGGGUAUUUUUGAAAAAAAAAAAAGGGCUCAACUCAAUGACGUAUUGUAGAAUAAUUAAUAAUUAAAAUCGUCGGUAUAUUAUAGAAAGCGAUAAUAUCAUUGGUAAUUUGUUGAACUCGAACAAACUUAGUGGUAUAGAAUAGAUUUUCUCUAAGACAUUUCUUAGCACUACUAGGAAAUGUAUCAUCCAAUUUUAGACUCUUAUAAUUUGGGAUGGAUGAAGUGUUUUCUUUUGCAACCUAUUUCGUGAUUCGACGUAAGAUAUUUGGUUCAGUUAUAUAGUACGGAGGGAUGAUAAUCAAUUGCUAACCAAAUCAAGAGUUAGGGCUGGUUUGGUUUGUGGCCUAAAUUGGCCUUACCAAUUUUUGUCAAUGUCAAAUUUUGGCAAUUUUUGGCAUGGCUAAUUUUGGUAAAGGUAAAAUUGUGUUUGGAUUGAAGCCAAAAUAGCCUAAAUUAACUGUUUGAAUGGCCUAUUUUCUUAGGCAUGCUAAAAUUUGGCUCCAAACCAAAUAGACAAUAAAUACUAUUGAAAUUGACAAAUAUUGAUAAAGCCAAUUUAGACCUUAAACCAAACCAGCUCUUAGAGCCGAGAGAAACUGACCUACUAGUACUUUUUUUAAAAGUGGAUUGCCGGAAAGGCCGUACUGCCUGCCGUGUGAGCAGUACCAGAAGAGGAAACAACGGCGGGGCGAUCAGUGGACGACUGGCGGGCAUGACGUGGCCGAUUCGAUGUAUCUGGUGCAGCUGCUGGACUGCUAAAGUUUCUGAAUCUUGCCAAAUUAACUCCAUCGUCAUCCAUCAACCACUGAAUCUUGCAUAAUGUAAAAAUAAUAAAAAAAACUGUAUAGUCAUUCGUGAUUCGAACUUGUAGGUUUGUUUCAUCCAGGAUUUUUUCCAGAUUCCUUCUUCUGAUAUAGGAUUCUUUUAGAUAAAGACACUACAGGCACGUCUUUGUUUAAUUAAUAGGAGAAAGCCAGAGAAGUGAAGUUUACAUUUGAUCGAGUAGGAUUUCAUUGGGUAUAUUGGUUUGCAGUACUCUGACAAUGUAUGAGUAUAUUCAAUUCGAUAUAUGUACUGAUCCUCAAUAUUGAAAACACACUUUACACAUGUAUAUGCAUGCACACAAGUCCGGGAAAGAUCUUACAGCUAAUACCUUGUGUAGUUGUGUUUUUCUAUCUGCCCUUUAUAUGUUAUUUUUCCCUACAUGACUACAAUGACCGGUCUACUCUAGCCAUAUAUAUGUGGUAAGCUUACUGGGCUCUUUUACGUUUUCAAGUGGAUAGAGCACGUCUCACUGCUUUAGAAGCCGAAACGCAGCACAGAAAAAAAAUCAUAUAUUCAUAUGUCUUGGUCGGAUUGAAGCCAACUUAAAAAAAAACAGCUUCAAUAAUAUCAUAUCGUAUAUUUAUGGUUUAGUACCGAAUUUUGCUAGAUUCAAUACUAGCACCACUGAAUUUAAUAGUAAAAAUACUAAUCAUAGUUUUGACACUAUUAAUUUUUUUUAAUAAAUAAAUUAGCUACAAACCAAAUGAGCCCGUAAAUCUUUCCAGGCUGUGCUAGCAAGGAAACCGUCGGACUGGACCUGCUUCCACCCUUCCAAAAUAACUUAAACUUAUAUGGGAUGUGGUCAUUUUUAGUACAACAAAUCUGAAUAAUUUUCUAACUAGAUUCGUUGUAUUAGGCCAGUCACAAUGGCUAGUGUCAUUGCACGGCUACCCAAAAUAUUAUACCAUCUUCUCUCAAAUGAAAUCUUUUAUGAAACAAUCCCCACAGUGGAGGGGUUUCACUUUGACGUUUCCAAGACUAAGCAAAGCAUUUAAUUGAUACAAGUUGCUGGGAUCAUUUGUACCCAAAAUCCGGCGCGGCGCGGGAGAAUGCGGAGGUCGCACGGCGGAGGCGGACGCAAGAGAUCCGGUGAAUGAAACGAAUCGGCCUCAACGGGGGUUUCACUCUGUUACCGAGGACUUGGAAACGACGCUGACGAGUUUCACCAGGAUGAAACUCUUUCCUUCUCUCUCAUCCCCAUUUCAUGCAAAUAAUCAUUUUUUAUUCAGUCUUACCCCUAUUAAAUGUGCAUGACACACCAGUGAAACCCCCAUUGUGACUGGCCUUAGGAGUUGUAUUAGAAAGGGUUAUAUUCUCACCUAAAUUAAUUUUUUUUUUUGGAUAUAGUACUACAUACCUCGGCCAGGUUCAUGGAUGGCGCCUCGAUCACCUCUCCUCCUCAGGUGCCAGUGCAGAACUGGAGUCUGGAGUAUCCGGCUAGAAUACCAAUCACCUCGCGCACACAUGCAUGAAUGUGCCAGGCUGGCAGUCGCUUCCGAUCUUGGAAGCUGUUCUACUUCUGCAUCGAUCCGAUCGAUCGAUCGAGCAUAUUGCGUGCUUCUCUCCGUUCCAAUCGGUUCUAAAGCACAGCGUACUUUCUCGUUCUAAAAUGUACUUCCUCCGUUCUGAGAUGUUUUAACUUUGGUUAAAGUCAAACUGAUUUAACUAAAUCUAUAAACAAAUAUAAUAAUAUUUAUAAUACUAAAUUAGUUUUAUUAAAUUAAUAGUUAAAUAUAUUUUUAUAGUAAAUUUAUCUUUGGUCAAUAUUAUUAUUAUUUUCUAUAAAUUUGAUAAACUUGAACCAGUUUGAUUUUGAUCAAACUCAAAAUAUCUUAUAACCUGAAAUAGAAGGAGUAGCUAUCUAAUAUAGAAUAUUUCAUUAUCUAAUACUAGGUAGCUGCAUCUUGAAAUGGAUGUAGAUAGAAUAAUAAAGCCAAGAAACCAUAUGCAUGCACUUUAAUAGGGCAGAUUCCUGCUUGAAUUUUGAUUAGUGAUUUAAUUUAGCACAUAAAAACUACAAAUACGAUCAUUCUAUUUGAAAAAAACGAAAAAAAAUAUGCUUAAGAAUUUAAAUGGAAGGAGUACAUGUGUACAUGCAUCAUGCAUGAUGCCAUCCUUGACCAUGAGAUUAAUUUGUUAAGUGCUAUAGCAGCUGCGAGAAGAGACCCUUCUUCGAUCGACUAGAGUGGGAGGGGUAUCAUGCAACCAUCAUGCAUCUAGCUAAACUCUAGAAGCUUCCGCUCUUCACAUUUCGUUUCUCCCUCAGGCCGGAGAAAAACAGAGGCUGGGCUAGAUUCAUAGAAUUAGCACUGAUUUCAUUACUUAAAUCCAACUAGCGUGUACUGUGCGUGGAACAGCCGUGAUUCCAGUGGGAGAUGUUGGUGACACGCUACAUAUAGCUCACAAGUUGUGCCUAAAGUUGCCCCAUUUGCUAGUUGUAAAAACGGAGACGUACCGGCUGCUCUUGUCAACUUAGCAAUCACCAACACUCUUGACCCGCUUACCUGUCGGCCGGAUCGAAAGAACGAAAUUCCAAACCCCAAUAAAGGUAUAUCUGCUAGGUCUAAAUUAAGCCCUAGCAUAACUUUGUUAGAGCAAGUUUAAUAGUAUAGCUCGCUAUUAGCUCUAAAUCAUCUAUAGCCAAUGUAAUAAUCAAUUCAUAUAAUUACUUACUAUACUAUUAAUAUCUGAUCCCACCUGUCAUACACACAUUAUGUUUUGGAGUCCGUGCUACAGCUGGCUACAGAUUUAUAGCCCGCUACUUUUCUCUCUCUUUCUUUAAAAUAUGUCCUAGCCUGCUAUUGUACAUGGUCUUAGUGGAGUAUAUUCAUAUCUAGCAGUUUGACUCACGCUAGCCUUAGCUUUCAUUUCAAAACAACGACGAGCCUGCUUGCAAGAUAUUUGGCUGCCAUCGGUUGGAUACUCACUAUAAGUAGAAUGGCUUAUUAGUAAAAAUAAUUUAUGAGUAAAACUUUUAUAUAUGUUUUUAGUGAUUUAGAAGUUUUAAUUUAAACUUUGACGAAAAACAUUAAAUCGAUUUUCAAAAUAAAGUUUUAAAAUUUAAAUUUUGCAACUUCUUAUAAGUUACAGGGAGAAAAGAUUGGAGCGCUAUACGACUGGGGCAUAUUAAGUAAGCUGAGGACGUGAGAUCAAACUAACAGAAAAUAGUCUUAGGGUAAGAUUUGUUCUACUUUUGUUCUUAGCGAAAAUUAAGGCUGAAGAAUAAAAAUCAAUGGAAAGCCACCCUUCUGAAAUUGCGUUUCUACUCACAACUUAAAAUUGGAUGUUGGCUUGAGCCACACAGGCACAGAUCAUAGACUUCCCCACCGUCAAAAUGGCCAAAUCUCAGCCCAAGUUACUAUGGGCUUUCGUUACGAGCUCGUUUCCUUGGGCCUUGGCUCUGGUGACUUUCCUGGACAUAUGGAUCGGGCUGGUGUGGACGGACGCGGACGCAGACGCAGACGCAGACGCAGGCAAGAGGCGUUGCAGGGGCAGCACGGCAGAGGGACAGCCACGAUUGCACGUAAAGGCAGUGGGGACGAGAAGACGGCAACAGCAGCAGCAGCAGCAGCCGCCCCCGCCAGCCGAUGCGGCUCGUAAGUCGCGGAGGAAGGACAUGGAUUUGGCACUGAAAGUACUCUGCUAAUGCUUGCAAUGCGGCUCGUGAGUUCACCACCAUGUUGUGGCCGAGGACCACGUCGCGUGCCGACGGGGGCCCUGUUUAAGGGGGCUAACUGCUCCCAGAAUCUCCCUCCCUCAUGCGGUCUCUCGUCCAAGUUGAAAGUCUCUCCCUUUGAUUUAUAGGAUUGGCGAAGAAUUUUCAUAGGAUUUAAAUUCCUAUAAAUUUUUUCCUACAUGUUCCUUUGAUUCAUAGGAAAGAAAUAAAACUUUUCAUAAGGUUGUAUCCCUAUUCUUCACAUUUCAUAGGAAAAAUAGCAAGAGGUAUGACCUCUUUGUGAACUUUCAUUUGUUUUUCCUAUAGCACUAUUAAAGGACUCCUAUUGUUUAUCUUGUGUUUGCUGAUUCCUGUAGGAUUUGAGAAACCUACUACUUCAAUUCCUAUAUUUUUCCUAUCCUGCGAAUCAAAGGGGCCAUUAAGGUUUGUUGACAUAGUUUCAACUCCAAUUCUAUCUUUUUUGAGCUAGAGUAUAACCAAACAAUAUAUGUUUCAUAUACAAUGGGUGUUUUCGUUAGAACUACUAGUUGGCUACCUUGCAGCCAGCAGCUACAGUCCCACCACAAAAAAGAUACUGGGGAAGCAGCAGCGCUGUGGCUGUAUAGCGGCAGUUCCGCACUACUGAAUAGACUCAAUAAGAAUGGAGUUGGCUGUAGUGUUCUCAUAAGAGUUGUGCUUAUCAUACGUCACAACUUCCUCCAAAAUCAGCUCUUGAAGUUAAAUAUAAGAGUUGGAGCCUUACCAAACUGGUUAUUAGUUAAGUCAGAGAUAUGUCUACUAAUCUGUAAAUGGAGUUGGCUGGAGUGUUCUCAUAAGAGCUGUGCUUAGCAUACGUCACAACUUCACUCCAAACUCAGCUCUUGAAGUUAAAUAUAAGAGUUGGAGCCUUACCAAACAGAUUAUUAGUAAAAUCAGAUAUAUGUCUACUAAUCUGUAUCUUUCAGAGCAUACGUUAAAGUCAGAUAUAUGUCUAAUAAUAUGUAUCUUUCCGAGCAUUCGAUAAAACAACGUCGCAGACACUCAUAACACACGCGCACAAACCCUACCCCUAUGAGCAUCUUUGAAGACUGUGUCAGCAAAUUCUUGAGAUUGACGAAUCCGGGAAAAUUCGCUCCCAUGAGGAGUCGAACCCAGGAUCUACUAGGCUACAGUCCCUUUCGCCAAAUGUAACUAUUUGUAGCAUUUAAAACUACACAAUAUAAAUAUUUUUAGGCUAUGUUCGCUAGUAAGGGAUAGGAACUAAUCCCUUCUGCACGGAAAACGAAGCGGUCCAUUAGCGCGUGAUUAAUUAAGUAUUAGUUUUUUUAAAAAAAAUGGAUUAAUAUUGUCGACGUUUGAUGUCGCGACUAUAGUAUUUGGAUAGUAUGGGGAUCGUUGGUACUAGAAUAUAUGCGAGACUUAGAUAAAAGGGACAGAGACAAGGAUGUUUAUACAUGUUCGGGCCCCUGAAUUGUCAGGUAAUAACCCUACUCCUGUUGGCGGAAGCCGAUCGUUGCUCUUAUUCACCAUAAUCACACCAGUACAAUAAUUGGGGUAGCCUAUCUAUCUGUUGUCGACUUGGCGGCCAUAAAACCAUCUCGUAGUCGACAACGGAGUAGUCUUCCUCCUCGAAUUCGUGCCCGGCGAGAUCAGAGACAGCGCUAUGUCUCUCCUGACAGUAUUCGUAGACAACAUAGGGGACUAGCCAUGCUUAUAUCUGAAGUCGACAUCCGGCGGCUUGUCUUGGCGUAUAUUGGCUUGUAUGUUGAUCUUAUGUCUUAAUCUAUUGUUUUGUGUCCCCUCUCCUCCUAGGGGGUCUUGUAUUUAUAUCCAUAGGUGUCCUCUUGUCCAAGUAGAACUAGAAAAACCAAUAUGGAUACAAUCCGAGUAGUCCUUGUCGUUUCCAUGUAGAACUCUGGUUGUUUUUUCUUAUCCGGAACUCCCUCCAUAUCCGAGGUCAGUUUCCGUAUAAGACAUGGUAUGUGAUGGGUCCUACCAAGAUUUAGUCAACUAAUAUUAGGUAUAUGGUAUCCAUAACCCUGACAACUAUGAUUUUUUUAAGCAACUUUCAUAUAGAAUUUUUUUUAAAAAAAAUACACCGUUUAACCAUUUGAAAAGUGUUCGCGUGGAAAAAGAGGGGAUUGGGUUCCCAACUCCUUUUGCCGAACACAACCUUAGGAUGUUUGAUUUUAAUGCAUGGGAAUUUAAAUUUUUUUCAGCUAAUGAGGUGUUUAGGAGAGAAAUCAACUGCGUUUCUAAAAAGCAAAUUAAAAUUUAACCGAUGAUGCGACGGUAUACUAAUCAGAAAUUCAGAAUCUGCCGUGGCGAAGGCGAUUUCCCCGGUGGUGGCCAGUGCUGGUGGCCAGUGCUCUCCUGCUCGCUCGCUUUUGAGAUUGGUACUUACGCUCGCCCUUCUCAUCAAAAGGCGUAUGCACUGUCGGCGGCACCCAGCAGACAUGGUGGCAUGGCAAAUUGGCAAAGCCGCUUUGCCGGCCCGUCCGCCCAAAAAAAAAAAAGCGUCUGAUGUCUGAACUGACACGAGCUCUUUCAAAACUUGAACAAAAGUGCUCUCUUUUUUUCUUCUUCUUUUUUUUUAAAUCUUCGUAUACCUUCAGUUUUGGCCUUGGGACACCUCUUUUUAGCAGUGUGUUUUUUUCUGUUCAUGGGAAAAGUGAGGCAAAAACUUUUCAGAAUUUAAAAGCCAGGGCUAUUUGAGAGUCCUUUUUGACAUCUGCCAUUCGCGUGCCUGAAAUGAGGUUACGCCUUACGAGGAUACUAAAUUACGGGAUGAAUUACAUAUGCUCCGGUGUAAUAAUUGGGAGAGCUUUGUCAAACCUGUCCGGUCCAAGUUUGACAUUUUUCCCCGAUCGAUCAUUCGAUUUCUUCUUCUUUUCUUCUUUUGCUUAUUACUACGAACUACCCCCUAGUUGUUGUACACAACAGCAUGUACGAACGGUGUCGCUGGAUGUGUAAGAAUAAUUAAUCCACCGGCGCUUUACGCCAUUAAGGACAAGCCACAUCGAUCGAUCUGGGCUUCUCUUUAGUGUUUGGAGCAUGUGAUAGAUAAGAUUAGUACGAGCAGACAACUUAGCUUUGCAAGUACAACUUAAUUCUGCAUUAAACGGCGGUUUUUGAACGCUGCAGUGAUGGUGCCGGUGUUUAUAGUUGACCUUAAUUAAUACUACUAGUGAUGAUGCAAUUUAACUCGUCAUCCUCGCAUUGGUACAAUUCGAAUUGCCUUCUUCUCGUCAUCCCGGGUACUUUGUUUUUGGAGUUAAGGCAUGGUGGUUUAAAGAUUUAAUUGGUUUAACACUUUCCUUGGAAAAAGAAGGGCUUAACCGCGCGCAUAAUAAAACACCAGUUUAACGACCUCGUCCCAUACUACUUUGAGGGGGGAUCUUUGAAUAUCAGUAAACAAGAUUUCCCUCUGAAGUUCUCAUGAUGUGGUUUAAACUUGCUUUGAAGGGAGUAAGAUCUACUUGCUUGAAACUUAAAGCUUCAAGUAACAAACAUGAUACAUUUCCAAAUCCAAGGCUAGCAUAUCUCUUCAGAAUAUGCCAAUGCAAGUCCUCGUCAAAAUUUUGGUUUCUACCCCUACUUUAGUACCCAUCAUAGCAAGAAAAACAAAACAACGACGUCCCUGAUCAGAAACGAGAUGGUCAUGAGGAUGACGAGAGAGAGAGAGAGAGAGAGAGAGAGAGAGAGAGAGAGAGAGAGAGAGAGUCAGCUUUAACCCAUGUACAUGGUCUUGCAUUCUUCCAACCCUAUUCAGCAAAAGGGUUCAUAACCACGGAGGCACAUACAAACUCUGUCUCUUCACAACAACGCAACGAUUCCCUGGAAAAGCAUUAUUAGUAUGGUGGUAGAGUCCUCACUAGGGUUUACAAUCCCGGUGAAAUCUAGAGAUCCUGGCAUGGAUCGAUAUUUGGUUCCAACGGAAAAUUCGAAUGAUUUCACCAAACUUAAAUUUGAAUUGAGGAAAAUAAAAAAAAAUCCAUAAUAAAACCUAUAAAUACUACGGUAUUUUAUAGAACCUAAUGGAAUAAAAAAAAUGUCCGAGAGAAGUUAGUAUUCCUCUUGUUUUUGAACUGCAGCGUAUAAAAUAAUAGAAAAGAUACUAUGUAAAGAAUGCACUUUAUUAUUAAGGCAAAUUUUGUUACAAGUCAUCGUAACUUCGCAGUUUCUGUUGUAGGACAUAUAUGAGGUGAUUCUUUUUGGAAAGACACUCUCAUAAUGUGAAAAUUUGCUACUAGACAUCACACCUGUUAGAAGUUUUUUUAGAGUGUUUUCUCCCAAAAGUUACUUUUCGUUGUAUUGUACCACUAAAACCGUUAAGUCAAGAUGUCCUGUAGGCUUGUAGCAAAAUUUGCCUUAUUAUUUUGACGAUGGACUUUAAAGUUACGGACUAUGUAGUUGAAAUGUUGAUGGACCUUAUAUUUAUCAUAUGGUUGGUGAUGAAUAUUGAAUUGUGAAUGACAUGUCUUUUAUGCUAUUCCCUUCAUGAAAAUAUGAACAUAUUGUGUUUCUCUAAAUGUGACUUUGUGACUUGUGAGGUUAUCGAAAUUAUAGGAAAGGUCAUGUCAAUUUUUUCAUAUGUUACUCACAUUUCCAAAAAUCUCCAUGAUUUUUCACAGACUAUUCCUCACCUCAAACUAUUUUUCAAGGUUUCUCACUAUUUUCUAUUUUCAGCGAAAAAAAUGUGAAUAUUAGAGAAUGACCUAAUAUUAAAUAAUUAGAAGGGAUAAGGCUUCAAACUUAAGUCGUCUAGCCCACCACCUUGUGGAGCUAGCCAGAAUACCCCUAGGUGUUUCUCUUUAAGCAAACAAAAAAUAUCGCUGGUUUCUCGCUCGCAUGGGUCCAUUUCCCAAUAAGUCCAAUUGAAAUUUUAUUCAUUCCAAACCAUUAGACUUUGGUGGUUUCGAUUGAAAAAUCGACAAAACCAAUCGGUACUCAAACCAAGCAUUUUAAAUUCAACUUUUGGUUUUCUAGAUUUGUUCAGUCUUUAUCAAAUUUUGUUGGAUUUUGUGAAAUGUGGUGAUCCUGCUAGAUACUUCAUCCGUUUCACAAUAUAAGUCAUUCUAGCAUUUCCCACAUUCAUAUUGAUGUUAAUGAAUCUAGAUAGAUAUGUAUGUCUAAAUUCAUUAACAUCAAUAUAAAUAUGAAAAAUACUAGAAUGACUUAUAUUAUGAAACGGAGGAAAUACUAGAUUUUGUAAACUCUAGUUGUGACUUCAAGACUUCAUGCACUAAGAAUUAUACAUUAUACAACUAUGUAAUCUUAAUUGAUGAGGUUGAAAGUUGUACUCUCUUUAUUAUUGUCAUCGAAAAGAAGGAUGCCCUGGCAAUUUCCCCUUCCCUCCCUGUGCAAGUCCAUGGCCCUCUAGCGUCGACCGCGUACGGUGUCGUGUCAUUUCGGUUACGCCGUCCACUAGCGCGCGUAGGUGCAUUGGUUCGGCGUUGCUGAUCAGUGCACACCUCCCGUUCUCAACCACAACAAAGUGGUCAAAACUCAUCAACAUGAUUAAUUAAAUAAAAAAAUAAAAAUAGAUUUAUUGGUUUUUUAUAGUAAUUUCUAUGUACAAGAUUUUCGCACGAAACACACGUUUAGUAUUUUAAAAAACUUGCUAAUAAAAUUUUUAAAAAAUAUGUAUCUUGUUAGAACUUAGAAUGGGACUAUUACAUUGCUGAACAGUAGAAUAAUCUUACCGACCGUAGAAACUUCUUCUGUUUACCGUUGUUCUCCGCGGGCGUGAGGUGUCGUCAUCAUCUCUCAAGUCAAGUCUUCGGCUUUGGAUUUCACGAGAGAAUCUCCGCACGCUUAGAAAAAUUCAGGAACAACUCUACUCGUAAUAUCGGUGAAUAAUGCACCACCAUAUAUCAGUAGAUGUAAUAAAUGGAGGUAAAUGUAUGCGGUGCGACGGCACGUGGGUUGGAGCCGACGGGUAAAAAGUAAAAUAACAGAUUAACAGGUUCGUGCAGAUUCCUUUCGUGUGCCGCCUAAUCCCCUCUCCCUGCUUAAAGAAAUUGCGAUUUGGGCUUAAAACAAAACUGAAUCCUUUCUUCUUUCUUCUUCUGUUCUUCGUCUGCCUCCAAAAUUUAAAAAUCCCUUCAAUUUGUUCUCCUCGGAGACACGCCGAAAUAUUAUUACUUCGGCUUCUGUCACAUGCGCCGUCUGCAGGCAGUUAGAUUAUGAAAUUAUCAUCUGGCUUGUCAUUGCCCGAUUAAAAAACACACACACUUACUAUCGAUCGAUCGGCUCAGGUCUAAAUGGCAACCCCCGGACUCAGACAGCCUUUGUUACUCAGACAGCGACUCCCCGUCAUUUCCGUUUGGUGUUGUUGGUCACCCGAGUUGCAAGAAACCAACGAAACAGUGUUCCAUGGAGUCGAAUCUUGUUGCUGGUCGCAGAUAAAUUAGAUAAAUAAAGUUUGUGAAUUGUAGCUAAGGAUGAUGGACGAACAAACUGGAAUGAGAGCGGCAGCUGAGAAUGAGAAAGGGAGAGGGAGCAGUGGAACAGAUAAACACACUGCUACUGGUACUACUCUCGUACUGUACUACUGUGGCGUGGCUAUCUACUGGAGUACCACACUACCUGUCGAGUGGGGACCAGAUGAGCGAACAGGCGUGGACCCCAAUGGCACCAGCGAAACCUUUGCCCUUCCGGCGACCACAUGCCAGCGGAGCGAGCCACGGCUGGUUGAUUUGGUUGAUUGCCUCCUUCGUUCGUCCACGCUCAAUUAUCCAUCCAAUCACCAGAGUUCGCAACUCGCCGUCUCCAAAAGAUAAAGGGAAAACGGGAAAAGGCUUUCUUCGUGUCAACGACCCACCCUGCCUAAAAUCUGAAUCUCCCACGAUUUUUUACGAGCACGGAAUUGUCCCACCUCGCUUACCGACGCAUCGCGGCGCCGCUUCAAAACCCCAAAAAUUCACAAUUCACCACCGCCGCGACGGGCCCCGCUCUCUCCGAAGCCGGCCGCGCCAAGACGCCCAAAGCACACACUCUCUCUCGCUGUCUUUCUCUCCUUCCAUUUCAUUUCUACACGCACCAAACGCCCCCAAAACCACCAGAAACACACGCGCAGACGCUGCCCCGGCCCCGGCCCCGCCCCCGCCCCCAACACUCUCUCUCGGAUCCCCUUUCCUCUCUUCCUUCGCCGCGGGCGCGCCACGGCGGCGACGGGUCGGGUCUCGCUGUCGCCGCCGCUGCUGCCGAAAUGGGGUACCUCUCCUGCCGCGCGGACUCGUCGGUGGCGACGUGCCGGUCCAUCACCGCCAUAUCGCCGCUGCCGCUGUCGCGGCGGUCGGGGGUCGGCGGCAGGCGGCGCGCGCUGCCGGCGGCGGCGAGGGAGGGGGAUGGUGGGGAGGCGUCGUCCGCCGCCGCCACCAUCGAGCGGUUCGCGUACGACGAACUGGAGGCGGCGACCUCCCACUUCGCGGACGCGGCGCUGCUCGGGAGGGGCAGCCACGGGGCGGUGUACAAGGCGGUGCUCGCCUCCGGCCGCGCCGUCGCCGUCAAGCGCCCCUCCCCGCGCCGCCCCGAGGUGGACAACGAGAUCCGCAUCCUCUCCUCCGUCCGCGGCCCGCGCCUCGUCAACCUCCUCGGCUUCUCCGACUCCGGCGCCGGCGCCGGCGCCGACCAGCAGCAGCAGCAGCACCGCCCGCGCCUGCUCGUCGUCGAGUACAUGCCCAACGGCACGCUCUAUGAGCUGCUCCAUUCCAACCCGCGCCCGCCCGGGUGGCCGCGCCGCGUCCGCCUCGCGCUCCAGACGGCGCGCGCGCUCCGCGCGCUCCACGACGCCGAUCCCCCCGUCAUCCAUCGCGACGUCAAGUCCGCCAACGUCCUGCUCGACGCCAACCUCGACGCGCGCCUCGGCGACUUCGGCCUAGCCCUCCGCGUGCCCAAGCGGCUACCCGGCGACGCCGCCGCCAAUGCCGCCGCCACGCCGGCGCCGGCGGGCACGCUCGGGUACCUCGACCCGGCCUACGUCACGCCGGAGAGCCUCAGCACCAAGACCGACGUCUUCAGCUUCGGGAUCCUGCUGCUCGAGAUCAUGAGCGGCCGCAAGGCCAUCGACGUCCAGCACUCGCCGCCGUCGGUGGUGGAGUGGGCGGUGCCCCUGCUGCGGAAGGGGAAGGUGGCCUCGCUGUUCGACCCACGGGUGGCGCCGCCGCGUGACCCGGUCACCCGGAGAGACCUAGCCGCUCUGGCGGCGAGCUGCGUGCGGUCGUGCAGGGAGCGGCGGCCGUCGAUGGCCGACAUAGUUGAUCGGCUUGUGGUUCUCAGCAAGGCCGUGUCGGGCAAAAUGUGGAACGGACUCGCCGUGGUUGGGAACCCCUGCGCUGUCGUGGAUGUCCAGAAGACCAUCGCGAAGCGAGCUGCUGCUGCUGCUGCAGGCGAUAGAGCCGCGUCGCAGCGGGAGCUGACUUCGGCAUUGGCAUUUGAUGAUGAUGAGAAGAAAGAGGAGGAGGAUGCGCCGAAUGCAGGUGCGUUAGAGGAGGAUGAGGUGCCAUUGGUGGGUGCGAAGAAAGCACCCCGGCCAUUGAAGAAUGGGAAGAUGUUCUCUGAGCCAGGGGCAAGGGAGAGGAGAAAUCUCUUGGAGCUCAUGGCUCGGAUUGAUGGUGUCGCCGGCCAAAGAUUUGGCAUAACUCGGGCAAGAACAGUGCGUGCCGCUAGUGAAUCUAUCGAAAAAGAUGCGGCGGUGUUGCUCCUGAGGAGAAAUCAAACUGUGAAAGUACUUGGAUCGGAGGCCCUUUCUAAAGCUGAUAUCUUUUCAAGUUUGGAUGCAAAAAUCAAGCAUGAAUUGGGGAAAGAGCAGCAAGAGGAGGCAGGAAAAAUCAAGCAUGAAUUGGUGAAAGAGCAGCAAGAGAAGGCAGGAAAUAUCAAGCAGGAAUUGGUGAAAGAGCAGCAAGAGAAGGCAGGAAAUAUCAAGCAGGAAUCAGGGGAAGAGCAAGAGAAGGCAGGGAAAACCAAGCAUGAUGCAGGGAAAGGGCAUGUUGAGAAGGCAGUGGGAAUCAAUCUUGAAGCAGGGAAGGAGCAGGAGAAAGUAGAGAAAAACCAAGAGAAAGAAAUGAAAAUCCAAGAAAAACUUGGGGAAAUCUUUGAUAAAGCAAUGAAAUCUGAAGAAAAGACAGGGCAAAAUCCUGGCAUAGAAAAGAAAAUCCAAGACACGGCAGAGAAGAAACAAGAGCAUGAUGCUAGGGUAGUCCAAGACAAAGUGGAGAAGAUCCAAGACGAAGCCAAGAAAAUCCAAUGAGUGUAAAGAGUUAAAAUAAUGCAACUGUUCUUAAUCAAUUAUUGCUUGGCAGUUGAUCUGAGGACAAGGCCCAUCAUGUAUGGAUCUCAUUGCUUCGAUGUCAUGAUGAGAUUUCUAGUUCUAGAGAUAAGAUCCUGGAAAUCACUUACCAGCAACCUGGCCAUCCAUUUCGGAAAUCGGUACUGUGCUGGUAAUGUCAUCAAGGCUUAAGUCCUAAGGUCUCCGGUGAUAACCAAUGCAACACAAACUGUGGUUAAUCCUCUGUAAGAUUGACUGGAUCAGGAAGGCUGGAAGGCUGGAAGUCUGAGCAGCAAGGCACGGUUGAUCAACAAUACCUAUUGUUGAGCAUUUGAGAUUUGUUAAUGAAAUUCAUUCUCCAUGUUAGCAACCGUUAAUCGAGCAGCAAGGCACGGUUGAUCAACAAUACCUAUUGUUGAGCAUUUGAGAUUUGUUAAUGAAAUUCAUUCUCCAUGUAAGCAACCGGUAAUCAUUUUGCUGCUUCAGUUCAAGUUUGGAGCUUUAAAAUGAUCACUAGUUGGAAGUAGAUUGUUGUAGCUUUUGCCCAACUUCUUUGAUUCAUUUUUUUUCCCUAUCUGCAUAGAAGAAUCACCAACUGUUCUGUUGAUUGUAUGUAGAUAGGAAGCAGAAGUGCAAUGUUAAGGAAAAAAAGUAUUUUAUCAUUUUCAUCUUGAGGUACAUAAAGAAAAUUUCAUUCUAUGCCCUUUUCUUCUACUCCUAUGUUGCUAGUCAUCUAGCCCUCCUGGGUCUGAUGCAUUUGGGUCUUGUCAUUUUUCACUUGUUGAAACAUCACAAAUGCAUAAGAAUUAUUGUCAUAAUCAGGAUCAGGUUUUUGGCCAUCAAUAGGUUGGCGAGAGAAUGACCAUUUUGAUAGGGUCCCUCCAAUUAGCACAUCGUCCUUAUCUAAAUUUCAAAAGCGCAUUCAUUGCCAAUAUAUUCAUCACAUGAACUGUAUGGAGGAACUGCAUAUUGCCGUUCCAUCUGAUUGUUUAAACCCAACUGUCUCCAUGAAUUUAAUACAUUCUUCAAUAUGAUAUGGGACAUCUGCAUGAUUUAAAUACUGAGAAAUGAGAACGGAUGGAAAUGCCCAAAAUGUUAAAUGUUAACUCACUUGUUUGAGUAUCAGAAGAACAGUACUAACUUGUAAGGGUGUAAAACUAAGUUGUGCCACCUAGAAGGGGAUACUGGCAAGUGGCAUGAUCAUCUCUAGAGCUUGAGAGUAUGAGCAUUGCAUUCCAUCAGCAUGAUUUGUCAUUACAAGAUCUGCAUCACAUUGCUGUCCAAUCAGAAAUGUGUUUCUUUAAGAGAGAGAGUGCAUUAGGAAUCAAGGUUAGGAAUUUGGUACGGUAGUUGGUAAAGCUGAACAUGGGGAGUAGGAAGGAACUCAAGGCAUGAGAUGCUUCUGUCACCAUAAAUCUGUAGACAUGGUACAUUGAUACAUACAGGGUGUCAUGCAGUCAUGGAACGAAAUUCAACCCACUUGUAUGCGAUGUAACAAUGUCAUAACUAUUUGUUUUUUUAAGAAAAAAAAAAGAAGUGUGACAUUGCUACCAAGAGAUAGGAUCGGCUAAGAACUUCUAGAUGAUCAGGCUGAUUAAACACUGGUCAUGAUUGAUUGCCUCGAGCCUCCAGAUAAUUAUAUGGAGGUCAUGCAUGAACUGGUCCACUAAUACAAUCACAUUGCAGGACAGGCACUUAAUAAAUGAUAAGUUGAUGGUUGCACUUCAAUAGCAGUAUACAAAAACUAGAUCAUCAUAAGAUACCAUGAAAAAUAAGUUGUUUUCCUUUGAGGCUUUUUUAGCACUGUUUCUUUGAGACUUGAUGAGAAGACGACUGGGCACCUAGUUAGUGAUGAUAUUGUAUCCACCACGGCAAACUUAAUCUUCUGCUGAAAAUAGUAGGCAACACUCUUGAUGAUAUUGUCACCUGUCACAAACUCAGCUGUGUCAUCUAUAAAGAUGAUAGAGGCACUGACCCGACAGUGUUCAUAAUGGAAGAAUGAUGGCUAUUAUGCAACAGGUGCUUGAAAAAGAAUGCGCAGCUGCCGUUCCAAAAGCUUCAUCGACAAUUAGUCGUAUUACAUUCUUUUGGGGCCUCAGUUCUAAAAUAUUUCGUUCUGUUGUCACAAUACACAUUUUUUUUUUCAUUUUUUAAACCAAAGUACAGAAAAUCCCUUUUUUGGUAUAUCAUAUUUGACCCAAAAAAAUAGAGAAAAAUCGACCAUACAAAAUUACAAAUUCACUUUCCUACCAUCUGGAUAUUCUUAACUCUAGUACCAGACAGACAUGUAAGUCUGAAAUUACCUCUCUCUUUUGUGAAUAUUUUGUAAUCCCUAACUCACAUGUGUGUUGUUUCCUGGAGCAGAUAGCACUACUGGCAAGAGCAUCGGUUUCAUGAUCUGCACUGUCGGCUUGCCGCUGGUUCUUUCCGUGCUCAGCUGCUGCUCUCUAGUAGUGAUACAGUCAUGAACUGACAAGAGUUAAAUCUCAUUAAACUACACUUGGUCGCUGCAUAAACUAUCGCAAAACUACACUAUUAGGGUCGUUUGGAACGCAUGAAUUUCGUAGGAUCUUGACAAGAGUUCUAUAGGAAAUUCCCAGAAAAUAUUUUUUUCCCAUUCCAAACAGGAACUUAAUAACUUCGCUAAUUUGGAUCGAAGGCAUCUUUGAGUGCCUGUGCUCUAGGUGACAUUCAGAGAUGCUCUAAAAACUUUUUAGUCAAGCGAUGAAUGAUGAGAGAGGAAAAAAACGAUAGCUUCCUUCCAGACGUUUGCCGAAUAGGAUUCUUUAUCCUGGGCACGUCAGAGUAUCGUAUUGUUGCAGUUGGUUCUAUAUGCAAGCCGUGAGUCACCCAGUUGCAUUGGAGAAAGCAUCAUUUUGGAAGGCAUGGACCAGGCCGUGUGUGCAUUGUGCAACAUGUAUGAUUGAUUCUUUUUUUUUCUUUUACAUGUAUGAUUGAUAGUUUUGGUACACUUGUUGCCUACUUGUCUGGGAGAUUUCAUUUUAUAUUAUAGUAGAAUGGUGUGAUGAUUCAUUAGCUUUGUCUUUUUUUGUCAGUUUUGUUACUCUGAAAAUUGGUGCUGAUUGCCAACCUGACAGGAUAAAGAUAGGGUUAUCCCGUUGGGAUAACGCAAGAUCAAUGUUUUCCCCCCUCAUAUGAGAUAUCUGAUUUUUGCCCUGUUGCUACUCCCUCCGUUUCAAAAUAUAAGAACCUAUGCUGCCUGUCCAGAUUCGUUGUACUAGAAAAUAUCCCAUCCGGUCCUAGGUUCUUAUAUUUUGGGACGGAGAGAGUAUGUCUCAAGAACAGAUGGCACAAGUGUACCUCACUCACAUUUAUACACUUGAAAUUCAUAGACACUAGAUUCAGCCCAUAAGGUUAUUGGGUCUCCCUGAGAGUGAGAGAUCGUGGAUAGAUAAUUGGGGGAAUAAGUUUAGUUUAGUUCUCGUAAUUUACCACCGAGUUUGAAAUUCAUGUCUGAACCGUAAUAUCAUAUAUGAGUAUAUGACAUGUUUCAACUCCCAAGAUCAGUGUAAAUAAGAUCUGAUCUCAAUUCUCAAGAUGGUUCGAAGGGUGGUUUCGGCUGAGGUUGAAUUUAAAUCGUAUCGUUAAUCAAUAUUAGAUAUGAUGCGUCUCUCGACUUUUAAAACCAAUAUAAACAAGAUCUUAAGACGAUUUGGAGAACGAUUUCGACUAACGUAACGUCUACGUGGCUUGGCUGGUUUGACUUGUUCUCGUCCCACGCUUACUUUCUGUUGCUGCGUUCUGGCACUGUCCAUUGCGAGAUGUUAGAAACACGAGAGAGGCGCACGCACGGACGCACGGCAUCAUAUGGGCUUGGUGGCGUUGCAACCGGAAAACCCCGAGCGAUUGGCUCUCUUUUCUCGCGCGACGAAAAACCGAGACAUUGGGCUGUCUUCAUCGUGAGGAAAGGAAAGCAAAACGCCGCACACAGGGCGGCAUACUCAUGCUUUGACUCACACACAACAAUCGUAAGACGAGCAUUUUUACGGUUCCCAUGGUGCUGUGCCGCCCCAUGCAUGCUCAAGCAUUCUUCAUCCCAGAAAAAUCCGAACAUGGAUCGAGAGGCAAGAACAGUGUACAAUUGCGUUUUGCAAGGAAAGAAUAUGGGCCAGCCAAUCGUGUUUGUUUCCCAGAAUGGAUUAGCAGGAACAGCUUCAUUCAGACAAAAACGGUGCAAUCUGUAUGCAUUGCAGUAACACGGUGGCCUGACGAUAUGCCGCUCAAGCGUGAGCUGUAGCGCUGUACCCGGUAAGGUGUCAAUACUGUAGUGAAGAACAACAUCCAUCAUCACAUCACAUUGUAACAAGAUUGGUCAUUGCGCUGGGAGUUUUCAGUUGCCUUCCUGCAAAUAUUGACAAGAACAUGUCAAUGACUCGAUUGACACCAUAUUAACGCUAAUUCACCGCAUUACGCAUGAGUGAGUAAUAGGCUUAUACAGGAAAUUCAUAAAGGACGUAGUGAGUGAUUAAUAUGCCUGUGUGACGUUUUUUCUAUUCAUCAGAUUCAACCAUUUUAGAAAUUGCAAGCGUACAAGGUAGCAGUAAACUAUGCAAUACUGAACAUGCUGCAUACCUCUAAUAUGGACUUUGCUUCAGAUUCAAAUGCCUUGCAUAAAAUCUCAUAGUUUUUUUCAAGUCCAAUCUGUGGAAACUGGAAGGAUCAAGAUAUGAACAUCUUAAUCAAUAAAAACUAUAGUUUAUAGGCAAAAUGAUACCAAUGGAUCUACUCGCGAUGGCGAAGUACUGGAUAUUACAUAUCUGCAGGAGAAGAGUUACAUUGAAAUGUUUCAACCAUCGGUCAACGCAAUAUUAACAACCAACAAUAAGUUACAAAUUCACCAUAAAUAAGCUGUGGAGGAAAAAUACUUCACCUCAACUUCUUGUAGAAAGCCAUAGCAAGGUUAUUAGCUUUCUGAACUGUUAACAUUACUGCUCCCAUUUGGCUCUGCAUGUACACGCUAUCAAAAUCAGAUGAUCCUCCAUGCUGAGAUUUCAGGAUAGCAAUUGAGCUAAAAAAUGUACUACAUGAUAAGACAGAUGAAGGAACGGAAGGUAUCAUAGCAGAAUAUAUGUGCACAUAAUAUUUCUAGAAAUAUGUGCACAUAAAAUUGAGCAGACCAUUAUAGUAUACCAUCAGAAACUUCUAAACAAGUCACAUUACCUUACAGGCUAUAAGUUCGACCAACUCCAUUAGAAAUUUUCCCAGCCCCUUCCCCUGGGCAGAAGACUCCAUCUGUAACUCAUAGACAUAAACAACAGGAACAUCUUCUUCCAAAACAAAUCUGUAGUGUACAAAACCAAUCAAGCGAUCUUCAUUACAUGCUUCAUGUGUAAAUUCUAGUCUUGAAUCUUGCUUCAUAAUAUUUUGGGUGGUAAUGGCAUUUGAAGAUUGCCGGACAAAGAUAUAUCGUGCUUCUGGGGCAACCAUUUCCCGGCGCUUAACUUUCUCUUCUGAAGGCCAUUCUGGCCCAUAUUGUCCCUCCAUGUUAACCUAAAUUAUUGCUUUCUAGCAUUACAUUUAUGGGGAAACUGUAAAAGGAAGAUAUGCAAAAUAUCCAGCAGCACUAAGAGCAAAAUGAAAGGGGAAUAUAUGUGACCUUGAGAAGAUUUUGGAUAUACUUCCUUGUUGGUAAUGGAAGUUGAUUUCCAUAUCCAUACUCCAAGUAGACCAAAAGACCUAAGUAUAAGAAAAGGUGAGAUUGAUAUAAUGCCCACAACACACAUAAAAGAAAAUUGCACUGUACUGAAUAGGAGUUGUUAGGGCCUAGUGUCGGAAUUUAUAGAGGUAAAUUUGACAUUAGAAGUUUUUUCCUUUCGCUGGGAAUAUUAGUAGUUUCUACAUCAUGAUGGAACAUUACUAGUCCUAAGGUAGUGAAUUUUGUUCACCAAACAGACAAUGUAGGCUACCAUUGCUCUGAUACUUGUGAAAAUCAGGAAAUUGCGCUAGAUGAUCCUUCAUGGCUACAGCUUUCCUUAUAAGUUCUUUGACAGCCUUCUUUCUCCCCAAUAUCUAGGCAAAGGCAGAAGAUUAUCUGAAUGAGAUCCUCAUAUUAGAUACAUCUCCACUAUUACUCCUCAAAUGCUACCUCAGUGACAGGAGUAACAAACCACCCACCAAAUAAGUAAAAAAAGAAAAAAAAACUUUUGACAAAAAUCUAGAUGUUGCAGCAUACGUGUACUACAGAAGAAAACAAGGGUCUAAUAAAGUUGACACUGCAGCUUUGCAGUUUAUGAAAAUAAAGGAAAUCGACACACUUGUAGGGUUUGAAGCGCGCGCUAAUUGAACUCUAACAUAACCAAGUGCCAAACAUCAUCUACCAAAAAAUAAACAAAAUCUUGUCAGCUAUUCGGUUUCGCGGAAUAUAAAACAAAUCGUAUCAGCCAUGAGUAAUCGACUAUGGGUAGGGCGAAACGAACAAGCUAUCGAUACUGGCCCCAUCAACAAGAGGAGAGGAGAGAAAUAUAAAGACCUCCUUCCUGCUCAGCCUCUUCCCCACGCCGCCGUUGCUGCUGCUGCUCCGAGGCCUCUUUUUCUCCGCCGUCGCCAUUAUCGCAGCGCUUGCUGGCUCCGUCUCGGAAUCUUGAUCGGGUCUCUCUCCUCUCUCCUCUCUCACCCUAUAAAAAUAUAUGUUUGGCUUCUCACUAUUACAUAAAAAAAACAUGAAGUUUGACAUGAUCAGUAAGCAAUUACAACAAAUAAAAAUCUGAUAUUUGCCAUGAGAAAUAUGCAACAAAUAAAAACUCUCAUUUUCUACUUGUCAGCAUCAAACCAAGAACAUCAAACUAAGCAUCAGUAUUGCAGCUAAGAACAGUUUUAUUCAUUCAUUUGAUUUCUAAGGGAAUUGGUUUUGACUAACCUGAUAAUAAAAAGAAGUUUUCACAGCUGCUUGUGGAGUUGGAGGUGGAUCAGAGCAGCUGCCAAGCAUCUGGACGAGUAAUACCGGUGGCGGUGGAAGUGGAAAGUGAUGGCGGCACCGGUGGAUGUGGCCGAGCGACGGUAGCGGUGGCGGAAGCCGAUGGCGAUGGCGGCGGAGGUGGGUUGAUGUGGCGGAGCAAUGGCUCCGGUAGCAGAAGUGGAUACGAGUAAUACCGGCGGUGGUGGAAGUGGAUGGUGAUGGCGGCGCCGGUGGAUGUGACCGAGCGACUGCAGCGGUGGCGGAAGCGGAUGGCGAUGGCGGCGGUAGCAGAAGUGGAUAGCGAUGGUGACGGAGAUGGACUGAACGAAAUUUGUGAGUAGAGAACGAGAGCGGCAGCACAAGAUGGCGGCGGAAGCGAGAACAAGCAGCGGGGGAGAAGAGGAGCCUUCCGCCGCCGAGGCCACUCAACCACGCCGCCGGCGAGCCGCCAGAUCCGGUGCCGAUUUCUCCUGGUAGCCGUCGACGAGCUCUGAGGGUGCCGGCCAGGGGAGGAGGGCCGCCGGUCGGGGAGAAGAUGAGGACCGCCGGCCGUGGGAGGAGACUGGGUCGCCGGCCGCACCGCCCCGCGAUCCCUCUCGCCGACCACGCUCGGACCGGCGUCGACGUCGGCGGAGAGAGGAGGGGAGGGGGAGAGGGGCGCCGCCGGCGGGGUAGCCGAAGGAGGAUGCCGGACUGCCGGUGUAGGGAGUUUUUUUUAAAAAAAACUGAUUUUAGGGUGUUUAGUGUAAAUUUUGGACCUCCACACAAAUUACGAAAAAUAUUAGAACUGGAACAAAAAUUUCAAAAUAUAAAAAUUAAAACCACCCCUAAAAACCACUUGCACUAUGGAAUUAAGAUUUUAGAUCGAUGACCUUAGCCUAUGUGGUACUCUCCAAGAGACAGAGUCAGGCUGUCUCUUGAUUGUUCAGCUUCUCAAAUAGGUUGUUAAUUUUUUUUUACACAUUGAUAUGUGCAUGGGACAUACCAGACUUAUACCAGAUUGACACCUGGCAAAAUUUUACAGAUGGUUAACUAUUUUUUAGGCAGCCGCGUGGGAAAAUGCUGGGGAUCAAGCGCCUGAUCCGCCAAAAAAAAAUCAAGCGCCCCUUACCCCACGUGCGCCUCCGCCUGCCUCCCACGCGUCCCCACCACUUGCGCCCUGUUGCAACGAAUCCCCACAUAUUAUGGAAACGCUUUAUUAAAGGAAUCCGUUUCAUUUUUUUGUUUCAGCAACAAUGUUUCAGCUAGUAUACUCAUGAUGUUUCACUAUGUAUGGAUGAAAUGUUGCAGUGAAUUGAAAUAUUCUUUUACAACAAAUUACCUACAUAUUAUGGAAAUGUUCUAUUAAGAUAAUCCGUUUCAAUUUUUGUUCCACCAAUAAUGUUUCAGUAAGUGUACUCGUAAUGUUUCACUAUGUAUAGAUCAAAUGUUGCAGUGAAUUGAAACAUUCUUUCGCUAUAUGCUGAAACAUUGUUUUAUAUAUGGUAAAACAAUACCUGAUUUUUUUUGAAAGCGUUUGUUUCAUACAUUGUAGCAAAAUGUUUCAUAGGUGAUUUGGUUGUGUUUCAACUUUUUAAAAUGAUUGAAACAUUUUCGAUCUACUUAGUGAAAUAAUUCCGAUCUACUUGGUGGAACAGGGUGCUCGAUUUGUAGGCGCCUCGUGCCACGUGGCCCAAUAAUAUGCUAGGAUCAACAUCUUGCAAUCGGCAUAAGAGAUUUCCACACUUUGUUCAUAGCAGAAGUAGCUAAGUUAUGGCGCUAUGGGAUCCUAUUCUAUCUCAUGGAAAGUUGAUGAAAAUUCAACCUUGUAGUUGUGAACAUAUCCAAGAUACUACCAGAUAGAACAAACUGGUGUAGAAUAGUUGAGAAAAUAGCCCGCUUUCAACCUCCGAUGGAAUUGAAGUGUUAGUGUGUCACAUCUUACGGGUUGAUAAUUCACAGCUGCUAAGAUGGUGUUUGGAUCCAGGGACUAAAUUUUAGUCCCUAUCACAUCAGAUGUUUGGACACUAAUUAGAAAUAUUAAAUGUAGACUAAUAAUAAAACUAAUUGCAUAAAUAAGAGCUAAUUCGUGAAUUUUUUAAGCCUAAUUAAUCCAUAAUUAGCACGUGUUACUAUAGCAUCACAUAGGAUAAUCAUGGAUUAAUUAGCUCAAUAGAUUCGUCUCGCGAAUUAGUCUAGGAUUAUAGAAUGGGUUUUAUCAUUAGGCUACGUUUAAUACUUCUAAUUAGUGUCCAAACAUCCGAUAUGACAUAGACUAAAAUUUAGUUGCUAGAUCCAAACAGGCCCUAAAAUGCUGGUAUCGAUCCAGAAAAGAGUAUUUUCACUGUCCUAAGAAGAACAUACUCCCUCCAUCAAAAAAAGGCAACCUAGGAGGGAUCCCCUGGAUCCCCUCCUAGUAUAACGAAUUUGGACAACCCUCAGUCCAGAUUCGUUAUACUAGGAGAGGUGUAGGUUGCCUCUUUUUUGGGAUGGAGGAAGUAAUCCUUUUUCUUUUUUGACUAACAACUUUAUACUACUCUCCGGUUCAAUAAUUCGGACAACGCCUCUGCCGGCAAUUUGAUCAUUGCAAGUGUGAUUUACUCAGCAAGCAAAACUGUGUAAACAUUGUGUUAACAAUUGCUUGGACAACAUCAUUUUAACUCUGGACUUGGUUCAUAAAUCUCAUUGGACAACAAAAUAGCUUCAUGAAUCGGGAUAGAUAGCUCCUGUUGAGUCAUCCAGGCAAGCGAGAGAAGAAUUCAGGCAGGAUAGUUUCAUUUAUCACCACACCAUGUUUGCUGGAGUAGACAUCAUCAGCCAUACUUUCCAGGUCCUUCACAUCAUCCAUAGACAUCGUAAUGUACUCAUUCAGAUUAUUGGUGGUUCCAUCUGAAACAGUUAAGGAAACAAGUAUAAAAGAACGAGCUGCGUGCUGCACAAUGAAUUUCAAAUUAUUAUACAAAAAAAACUGUGGAUUAAAGUGAUUCCUUCUAAAUCCAACAUACCACCAAAGAUGGUGUUUAUUUCCAGUGACCCUGUUACUAAUUAUCACAAACCUAUCCAGCCGUGAAAUUUUCUACAUGCGAUUUCAGGUUUUCAACUUAUCAUUUUGGCAGUAUCUUCAUAGCUAGGAGCCUGACUAAGGCAGCACAAUGAAAAUCACAAGAAAUGGUUUGGCCAUAUGAUCUGAUACCUUCUGCAACAAUUGAUUCAUACUUUGGGGGCAACUGAAUCCAAUUCCCUGCAUGAUCCUUCAUGUGGCUUCUAUCAGAUGCAAAUGAUCGAAGAAAUACAGGAGCAUGAAUCACACGGAAAAGCCUGUAAACAUAGAUGGAAAAUUGUUAGACCUUUGAGAACUCUUCUGCAAAAGAAGGAAAAGAAAAUGAAAGCUUAAUAUGCAUCAGUGCAUUGCCUCAUAUACUUUCACACACAAAUGCCCCAAAGAUGAAAAAGAAAGCAACACUAACCUAGUAUGUACAUCAAGAGUUAGAGGUCGCUUCCACUUCAUCUAAACAAUUGAUGCAGUUGUAUUGCAUGGACUGACAUUGUUACAAUUCUAAACCUGGGUACAUCUCAACGCCCUUUUACACAUGCAAAAAGAUGCACGCUGACUCCUACAUACUAUAGAUAGGAGCAUAUUAUAAACUUCGUAACAUCUAGAUAUGACAUAAGUGUACCAUAAACAAGUUUUGUGAAAGAAUUGAACCAGUAAUAACAGAAUAAACAGAGUGUUUACCUCCUGUAGGUAGAGUUGCCAAAUGAUAAUGGUCGUAUGGCAUCAGAAACGUACUGGAUGAAUGAACAUGGGAAAGGAAGGCUGGAGUCCAAAUCCCAAACAAGAUCAAGUACUUCUCCAUUUUUUCGCCUAGACUUUCAUAUGCAAAUCAAGAAGUAGAUGACACUAAAUGCUUGCUUCAUGAUAUAAAAUGUUCUAUUUUAUGUUGGUAGUGCAUAAUAACACCGAACUAAAUAAAUUUGGCACAAUAACGAAUUUAGCAUUUACCUGGAUACAAAUUACAUGAUAAUCCCACAGGACAAAACCAUCACCGCUAUGACUUGCUUUCUGAUACCAGAGAGGAACCUGGCAAUGGAAUAUGGAAGGGAAAUAUCAUCACCAUAAAAAUAUAUACAGAUAUUGGGAUAAAUGCAAUCCUAACUAAGAAGAUCAAAAACAGAAAAGAGGUAAAUACAUACAGCAAAAGAUUAGAAGGCGAAUACAAAAGAUAUGAUAAGACCACCUUCUUUUCCUCAUUUGAUAUGAAAACAGCAUAUAAGUUGGUGCCAGCAGGAUCAGAAAUUCCACUUCUAAUGAGUUCCUUACAUAGCAAGUGAACAUUUUCUUCACUACAUGUGGGAAAUGAAAUCCAAUCAUUACUUGAUGAGUAAAAAUAGAAAAUAUUUCCAAUUUUGAUAGCAUUAUUUACAGCUAGAGGAAACUAAUUUAACAAUAUCGGCACAAGCUGGUAAACAGCAAAAAAUGAGCACAGAUGAAAAAUAUAAACAGAAAGUCACAUGUUACUCUAUAAACGAUGCAGGUGCCCUAAGCAAUAUAAGAUACUAAUUUUGGUUUAAAAAGGAAUCCUCACAAGAUAUGUAUGUGAUUAUUCCAAAGCAUAAUGUUAGAAUGUUCAAAUGUUAAAACAAUCUUGCAUUGAUGCAAAAUAAUGAAUCUAUGCUACUUAAAAUGUUAGUAGUGGUAGUGUCUAUUUCCACACCACCCCUACCACUAACAUCUAGGCCCACAAUCUAUAAUAUUACACCAUCUUUCAACAGGUACUCCUCCAUUUCACUACUGGCUCCCCCAAAUUUCAAAAUCACCUACUUGUCCAAUAAGAAAAAUCAUAGUAUUACUUAGACUAUAUAAGUACUUAUCAAUUGAUUUAAUAAGCUAGAAACUCAAUUUGUUUUCCGUUGCAAUGCACGGGCUCUAAGGUAGUUGAACUAAAAAUAUCCACUGAAUUUCGUUCAAAAACAAUGUCCACUGGAUGACGUAGAUCUUUGCCAAAGAAGGUUAAUCAAUGUAACUAUAAGAUAAAGAACGAGAUCAUUGAAAUUCAUACAUAGCUUGAUGAUGAUAAUCAUCUGAAGCUUAAUAUGUUGUAUAUACUACUAUACUAGUAACUAGUAGUAAUAUCGGGAUAGAUUCAAUCUCAAGAAUGGGAUUGAAACCAUUAGUUGCUUUGCUCUCUAUCAGACUAUCACUAACCAAAACCCAUUCGAAGUCUCAAACAUUCAUAAAUUACAAUUAUGUCGCCUAACUUGAUGUCUAGAUUGUACCGUUACCAACUGAAAUUCUGUGCAUCUCUAUCCCCAUCAACGAAACAAUAAACCCUGCAUCUCCGUCCCCAUCCAGGAAGCAGAAACAACCAGAUCCCAAUUCCCAACCUCAUCACCUUGCCAGAGGCAAUCUACCCAGCACUUGGUGAAGAAUUCACGGCGAGAGUCAUUCAUGCCUCGCUGCCUGCAUCUAAGUAGCCAAGCACGGAACAAAAGAAUCGGGUAUGGAGAGAGAAGGGCUUACCAGUAGUACGGGGUGUGCGUGAACGCGGAGGCGUCGAGAGGAGGGGGAGGAGGAGGUGGCGGCGGGGUUGCGCCGCCGGCUACUCGGUCGUCGGCCAUGGAGGACGGCGGCGGCGGCGGUGGCGGCGGCUGGGGCUGGCCGAGGGCCUGCCGGACUCGAGAUUAAGGCCAGGACGGCCUCCAGGCUUCAUCGUACGGCCUAGUGGGCCUCAAUGGGCAACGGCCCACAAGUGCACCGGCCCGUCAAUCUGAGGACGCAUCCAACCACAAACUUUACAGCAAUUUUGAGCAUUACUUUCUGAAGUGGCAAGGAAUAAGUUCAUCCAAGGUCCCUUAACUUGUCAACGAAUUCGAUUUUCAUCCUUCAACCACAAAACCAGAUACAACGGGUCCCUCAACUAUCAAAACCGGAGCAAUAUAAGUCCCAUGGUAGUUUGGAAGGCGGUUUUAACUUACGUGGCGCCUACGUGGCUAAAUUGACCCGGUCUUCAUCUGAUGUGGCAUCGAUGUGGCAUUGACGUGGCAAUUUGAUUUGGAAAUUAAUAAAAAGAGUGACCCCACAUGUCAGCUACACCAAAAGAAUUAAUUAAAAAUGGUGAGGCCCACGUGGGCUCCACUUGUCAUUCACUCCCCUAAUCUUCUUCCUCCUCUCUCUCCCCAUCUCCCCUCUCCUCUCUCCAGGAGCUGGCGGUUCGGUGACGCGGCCGGCCAUCGGUGGCGGAGCCAGGGAUGACCUCGGAGACGAGGACGCCGGGGAGCUGCGCCUGGACGGGGACGCCGACGGUGAUUGUUGUUACUGGACUCAGAGUUGGUGUUGUUGUUGUUGAGCUCACCAUGGUAGGAGCUGAGAGGGGGAGAGGUAGAGAUAGGGCGGCCGCCGUGCUGCGACAAGGCAAACGUGAAGAAGGGACCAUGGACGGCGGAGGAGGACGCGCGCCAAGCUGCUAGCGUACACCUCCACCCAUGGCACCGGCAACUGGACCUCCAUUCCUCAGCGAGCAGGUCGUGAAAUCAACGAUAUCGCCAUUGCUGCUGAUGGGAUCAAGCUUGAGGUGCAUUUGAUCAUAUCAGAUCAGAUCAAAAUACGGUGUUUUUGUUUAUCUCUUCUUUUGCCCUUUCGGCGAUGCGGCGUCAAGGGAGGUUCGGCGGCCGGCGACGCCGCGGCGACCCCCCGUCCGACCUCCUCGCUAGCGUCGAGUCGGUCGCCUCCGCCACCUCCCGCGGCAUCCACGUCUCCAAGUUCUCCGUCGGCUUUCCCCGACGACGAACCGGACUCCGGCUUCUCGCUCGACAACCCGGACCUCCUGCGCAAUCGCCCCGUCCCCGACCGGCUCCUCGUCGUCUCCGCCGGCGUCGCCGCCAACCUCCUCUUCGCCUUCCUCAUCGUCUACACCCAGGCGCUCACCGUCGGCGUCCCUGUCCAUGCGCAGCUCCCUGGCAUCCUCGUCUCCGAGGUUAUCCCUGGCUCCGCCGCCGCCGGCCGGCCGGCCGCGUCGCCGAACCGCCAGCUCCUGGAGAGAGGAGAGGGGAGAUGGGGAGAGAGGAGGAAGAAGAUGAGGAGAGUGAAUGACAAGUGGGGCCCAUGUGGACCACACCAUUUUUAAUUAAUUCUUUUGGUGUAGCUGACAUGUGGGGUCACUCUUUUUAUUAAUUUCCAAAUCAAAUUGCCACGUCAAUGCCACAUCUAUGCCACGUCAGAUGAAGACCAGGUCAAUUUAGAUACGUAGGCGCCACGUAAGCCAAAACAGCCUUCCAAACCGUCAUGGGACCUAUAUUGCACCGGUUUUGAUAGUUGAGGGACCCGUUGUAUCUGGUUUUGUGGUUAAGGGAUGAAAAUUGGAUUCGUUGACAAGUUAAGGGACCUUGGAUGAACUUAUUCCAAGUGGCAAUAAAGCCUUCAAUCGGCAUCGGAAAAAGUACACCGAAGGUCCCUCAAUUGUCAUCGAGUUACGAAAUCGUCCCUCAACCGUAAAAUCGGAUACAACGCAUCCCUUAACUUAUAAAACUAGUGCAAACUAGGUCUCUCGUGAUUUUGACUCCGGUUUUAUCCGACGUGGCAGCUGACUCAGCGUGGGUCCCACAUGUCAGCCUCUUAUCCUCCCCCCCCCUCCCUACCUCUCUUCUCUUCUCCUCUCUCUCUCCUCUCCUCUCCACGGGUGGCGACGGGGGAGCAGCUGGGUGCCUUGGCCGCGGUGUGGCAGCCGAAGUCGCAGAGGAGGCACGAGUGCCGCGCGGGAGGCAGCCAGCUUGUCGGUGGCGCGGAGGAGCGAGGCCGACGCGGUGACCGUGGCGGCGAGCUCACGGGUGUUGCCCUGGAUGAGGAGGCGAUGACCGUCGAGCACGAAGCAGCGCAUGCCGUAGCCCUCCUGCGGGCAGUGCCCGAGCUCCCGGAGCGCGUCCACGUGUCCCAGCGACGCCGCGCGCGCACAGCGCUGCCCCCGCGCAGAGGUCGUGGUCCGUCCACCGCGCCCUUCCGCUUCCUCCCUCCACCGCCGCUGUCGCCGCCACGGCACCCUGCAGGCACAGAACACACACGAUUUCAACAACAGGAGAAGGGGAAGGAAACGGAGAUAGGGAGAGAGAUAGGGCGGCGAGAGGAGGCGGCGCCACGGCCGACGCGGGGUGGGAAGAUGGCGCGCCCUCGCGCUCCGCCCUCAGUGGCGGCGGGUGAGGAGAAGGGUGGUUCGUUUAGGUGGGUUUCCCCUGAAGCCGCUCUUGGCGACGGCAAGCAGCUAGCUCAAGACCAGUAUGAUCUCAUCGAUCUCUCAAGAUCACGAGCUCUCAUAAGGAAUCGAGUGUGUUUGGGUCGUUUGUGCCGUGCCAAGCGGGAGUGUAGGGAUGCAGGGCACAACGACGACCAAGGCCGGGCGCAAUGGCUUCCGCACCGGCGCCGGCGUGGAAGGCCCCGGCGCGACGAAGGCGACUGACGGGAGGAGCGAUGCCACCGUGGCAGCCCGCAAGGUCGGGACAUGCGCGGCAUGUCGGGCGUAGAGACCAAGGACUCCCUGACCAUCGUCGCGCUGCAGUCGCCAGUCACCGUCGAGCGCCCCGUCCGCGGUGACCUCGAGGAGCACGUCCCCAUGCCAUGUAAGCACAAAUGCGAUACCUUUUAAUUUGAGCAUAUAUUCUUCAUGGUUGAAUACUUGAACUGCAAUACAAUUAGCUGAAAAUGCGUCUCUCGUUGCAUGAACGUGUCCCACGCAUCGAUGAGAUCAACGACGGCAUAAAGCUAGCUACCGCGCCGCCAUUAGCGCCGCUCCCGACACGCCCGCGCGCGGCUCCUCCCACUGCCACCCGUGCCCCGCUGCUCCGCCGCAGGCCGCCGCCCGCGCUUGCUUCCACCUCCGCGCCCAUCGCCGCGGCGCCUGCCUGUGCCCGGCCCGUCGCCGCCGUGUCGCCACGCCACCCCGCCGCCUGUUUCCUGCCUCGCCCUGCCGGCCAGCCCGCACGAGGGGAGAGGGAAGGCCGGCUAGCUCGCGCCGCCCUGAGCCCACGCGCCGGCCGCACCACCCUCCGGCGGCGCGCGCCACUGUGGGCGGCAGCCCUAGCGCCGUCCCUGUGCGAGAGCAGAGAGCGAGAGGAAGGAGAGAAACAGAGAAGGAGAAGAGGGGAAAAGUGAGUAGGUGCUGACGGGGACACCCUGACGUGUGGGGCCCGUGUGGGUCUCAUGCAGAGUUAGUUGUCACGUCGGAUAAAACCGAAAUCAAAACCGCCAAGGAACCUAGUUUAGACUGGUUUUAUAAGUUAAGAGAUGCGUUGUAUCUGGUUUUACGGUUGAGGAAUGAUUUCGUAACUCGAUGACAAGUUGAGGGACCUUCGGUGUACUUUUUCCAUCGGCAUCAAAGCCGGGCUCUCCUCCGCACUGGAAAAAGUGUUGUAAAAUUAAAUAGCUCUAAAUAUAUAGAAUAGUAGUACGGUAGUACUUUUGAUUACAAAUCUGAAAAUAUCACUUUUAUUAAGAGACACGGUAUAUACGCGGUGCACAUGCACUGAGCACGUAUCAACACAAUUAAUAUAUUUGUUAAUUUAUUAGACAUACUAUACUAUGUAGCGGUAUAGUUAAAACACGUUCAACAUUAGUAAAUUUUUAUUGAAAUAGAAAUCAUCGAGAAAUAUCCUUACUAAAUCUAUUUGUAAAAUUUUUACGAUUAAGUAUUUGAAGACGAUGUAAUUUACAAUAAAAGGUUUACUAUAUGAAUAGUGUGUUUUAGUUACUAUUGUACAGUCUGAGUGCAUUUUAGCACAUCGGUGGACAAUAAUAGAAAUAUGUUCAGCGUUUAUCUAGUGAUGUUGUUUCGAAAUAUCAAAUCUUAAAUUUAUUUUUUAUAUAUAUGAGAAUGGAGGUGGUACUCUAAAACGUAUGAUCCAUUUGAAGAUAUUAUAUUACUUUCGCUGAUAUUUGAAAAAUAAAAUUUAAACUUUAAAUGAUCGUUUACAUCGUAUUUUCUCCAUGAAAAUUAAUUAGCCUCAUGCAUGUCAUAUAAAUUAUCACUUUCUCAUGCAUGAGAUGAGCGCAUUAUUGUCUGUACAGCCGGUUUGGUGUAUUUUGCUAUGUAGAAUAAAAAAGGGCGGGGACAAUCUAGACCCUGUAGCAAAAAGGAUAUGCACGUUACUACUGAUUUAGACAUCGCACUAUAGUUCCACGGUAUAUGGAUUUCCUUUUCAUGAAUAGACCACUCUUGGCAGCUCAAUUGUGUAGUGGAUCCAGUGGUGUUGGUAGCCAAACUGACUGCAACCUUUUAUGUUGGUAUAUUUCGUAUAUAUGGUUCUGUUCUUGCCAUGUCAACGGUAUCUUUGAUAUUUUUAGUUCAACUGGUACUAUUCAUUUGCAUCUUUCCUUUUCAUGUCUCAUAAGACUACAUCAGCUUAAUUAUUUGCAGCUUUUAUAUGAUUGGCCAAAAAUAUAAAUUAAAUAAAACAUAUAAAGUCAAACCGCCUAGCUACAAAGUAAAUCUACCAUAAACCUUAUUCGUACUAAUGUGGACUUUUUUGUAACGACGCACAUGGCUUUUAUAAGUUAAGCUGACUUUAGUCUUUGUUUGGCACAACUCCUUAUCUUUAAUUUUUUGGAUUGGAUAUUACUAGCUCUAGAAAUUUAUGGAUCUGGAUCUUCAUUAUUGAUAAUAUUUAGGUAAAUCAUCUUAUUUUUAUUUUAGAGAAAAUAUGAAAUUUUAAACCAUAGUAAUUUAAUUUAUAAACUUCAAAUAAAAUGAGAAUAUGAGAUAUGAGGCCGUGCAAACAUGACCUUAUAAAACCAAAAUACUGGUUAUGGUGGUCUAUAUGUAUUUACGUCAUUCGUAUAAUGGGAUAAAAUAAUGAUGUUUUCUACACAUAGUCGAAGAUUACAUGCCUCUUCCGGUUCAAACAACUUUCCAUUUGUUAACAGUGAAAUUUGGUAAGUCCGGAGUAGUCAUCGGCUUAGAGUCAGCAUCGGCUUCAAAGUCCUAAGAUUAGCCGAUGAGAGUUGUCAAGUUGUCAGUUGUCGGAUUCUUGCUAUAUUCGGUUAAGGAAAUUGAUCUACUAAAGGAAGCUUAUCCAAAAGAGACCGAGUUCAAAGAGAAUGCGGCAUGGCAAGUUAUCUAUUAAUUAUGAAUAGUUUGUUAGUUUUCUUUUAUCUUUAGGAAAGCAUGUUUAAUGUCCUAUAAGGACUUUAUCUUUUCCUUUUAUCUUUAGGAAAGUUUCUUUCUUAUUCGACAAGGACUUGUAUCAACCCAUGAGUAUAAAUAUGUACACCCGGGGUCUAUGUAAUCUAUCUUCAUGAUCAAUACAAUUUAGCGCAUCGCCACCUUUUACUUUUUCUACUUUAUUUUAUCGUCCGGCGGGACUUGGCACCUGACGCGGGCUGCAUCGGUGUUCGAUCUCCGGCUAAGGGGUAAGUCCAAUGUUCCGCCGGCCCGGGCAAUUGUAUCGUUUACGUCGGCGUCGUUCAAGGCUGCAUCAGUACAUUCGACCUCUUGGAUUGCUCUGGUUUGGAUGAUAUAUUUGCCUACCUAUUUAUCAUAUGUCUCUGUUAAUCUAGUCUUAGCAUAUCAAUUUAGCUCUAUCGGCUGCUUCUCGUUUUAGGGUUUCUGCCGGUAUCGGCUAAAUCACGUUGCUAGAUUAGAUUAGCUUAGACAUCUACCACCCUGAAAACUCAGUCAACGGCUUAAUUGUCUAGAUAUUAUGUUUCUUUUCAUACUUAGUGCUACAUCAGUUAAGUUUGAUCUACUAAGUCGUGCUUAGAACCAUAAUCUCUAGCCUGCUUCUUGAUUGCCAAUAAGGGUUUCAUCGGGGUUUCAGCCGGUGAGUUAUCUGGACGUUGCAUCGGCUCAUAAGGAUUGCAUAUACAUAUAAGUUGAAUUUAGCCGAUGACAACAAAGGUUUCACUAUUUAAUCUAAUCUUGUGGAUUUCAUGACAUCGGACCUCCAGCCGAUGUGUGCUUUAACCUUCGGAUCGAUGCUUAUUUAUCAUAUCAUUAUUUGCCGAUUGGUUUAUACUGGAUUAUACUGUUAUUUUAUUACAUCAUCAUCAGCCGAUUGCUUUUAUAUCAUUAUCUACAUUGGACAUAUAGCCGAUUGCUUAAACCCUAUCGUUAUCGGCUAGUAUCGGCAUCGGCUAUCAGCUGGAAUUACUCCAUCGGCUUGUCAGUCAAUCGGCUGUUUUGAUAUACUAUUUGCAUAUCUUGUCAGUUGCAGGAUCAAACUGACUGGCACGCCCGGUUCUCAUCAAGAUUUAGACCUGUACAGGAACUAAGCAGAUCUCCCAGGCCAGUGUGUUCGAUUUUUUCAUCAACACCAUUCUAACAUUCUAAAUAAUUCUUUUUAGAGAUGUCUUGUUGUAAAUAAAUUGAAACGGAGGGAGUAAAAACGUAAUUUCAAACAACAAAUUUUACAUGAACUCUAUAUAUAUACCGUGGAAGCUAAAAGGCCCAGCCUGCCCAUCAGUUUGUCGCGUCCAUCCAUCCAUCCAUCCAUUGCGGGCCUUCGAUCCAUCCCCAACCGCGCCACCCAUCCUCGCCGACGCUCGCGCAGCCGCACCCGCACAGCGCCGCCGAUCGACCCCGUCGCGGAUCCGCGCUCCUCGCCGCCGGCGAACCGCCGUCCGCCCCGCCCCGCCCCACCGCAGUGCCCGCGCACGCACUGCCCCCCUCGUGCCGCAGCCCGCAGUCGGCGACGGUCCCUCCUCCGGUGGCGGUGAUCUCGUCGCUGGACGUACGGUGCUUCGCUCGACCAGCCACGACAGCGCGGGCCCCGCGUGGCCGCGUCGAGGGUCCUUCCCUCCCUCCCUCAUCCACCUCCAGGCUCCCCGUCGCCGCCCGAGGCUAUGGAUGGCCGGCGCUUGGUUGGUACCUCUUCUUUUGCUUUGCUUAAUUGCUGCUUGGAGUGGAAGGGAGAUUCUUGGGUCGGUGUAGAUCACAUCAUCACUUCCAAAUCCCAAAUGAGCAGAUGGAAGUAGUGUUGUUGUUGGAGAUGGUACACUUAAAAAAUGCAGUUAAACGUGCCUGCAAAGUUCUCCCGAAAUUUUCUGUUUUACCUAUAGUAUUCAUAGUUACAGUGAAGUUUUCACCCAAAAAUAAAAAAUAAAAAUAAAAUCAAAACAUAAGAUUUCAAAUUAAUAUAUGUUUUCCUUGUCAGAUUUCCUGUUUUCUUAAUGGUGUUUUGUAUAUUUUAGGAUUGUGAUGGGAGAGUAAACCUUAGUGUGGCUACCUCAGAUCAGACCUUAGAUAGUUCAAUGGAAUCAGAGAGGGCAGCUUAUGCGUUUCUUCCCCAAACUCCAAUCAAGUCAACCGAUGCACACCUCGUUGAGUUCUCGGAGGCUAUGAGAGGUGAUAAUACAAACACUUAGGUGUCAUUUGAAGCUUUUCACUCUAUUAUUUAAUAUACUUGUGCGUGCAUGUACCAUACUGAUGGGCACAACAUGACUCACAAUUUGCAUGUGGAAGCUGUUGCGAAAACAUUGCGACAAGUUGCAGAAGGGAAAGCUGCUGCUCAAGCAGAGGCAGCUGAGUGGAAGCGCAAGUAUGAAUUAGAAAAGGCAGUCAAGGCACACAGGCAUAAUACUGUAACCAAAGGUCUGAUUUACACAUUGAAGCUUCAGUUUUACUAUUUCUUCAUUGCUGUUACCAGACAUAAAUAUGCUAAGAAAGUGGUUGACUCUUAGUUUGAUAUCAUCUUGCUCGAAAAGCUGUCAACAAAUAAGAGCAUGAUCUCCAUUUCAUUUUCCUAAGAUUUAUAAAUUGCUUAUCCCUAUCCUGUAAUAUACCGGUAUGCAUCUGAGUUUGAUGGGCAUACAUCUAGUUUACAUGGGAAGAAAUAAAUUACUGUGGAAUCAUUUCUACAUGAGUAUUGUGCAGUUUACAAUUUUGAAAUGUUAGAUGAAGAGUGGCAUGCAACAUUUAUGCUUCUGAAUGCUCCAUCACAUAUAGCCUUCAACACAAUUUUUAAGAUAUUAGAAUUUGUGAUGAUGAUGGUGGUGGUUGUCUUCCCACCUCCCCUGAAAAAUUGAGUUGGUGUAAUCUUUUGUGACAAAGUUUAUGCAUAUGCUGUGGAUGAUUGAAUCAUCCACGCGUGUGGUUUGUGCUAAGAUCCUGUUUAACAUAGAAACUGCACGAAUCACUCAUGCAGUUUUCAUAUUUAGAGAAUUUCUACCGCACAUUCGUUUUCUGAGUAUGCAACUUGUGAUAUAGUAGUUUGUUCAUCCGAGAUCAGUUUCAGUGCACAGGUUAUCGGCAGUACUAUUUAAUAUUCAAAAUUUGAUUCAUCAUGAUCAUCAUUUUCAGAAAAUGAACCAAUUCAUUAUGUGCCUUCCUAGUUCCUAUUCUAUCACUAUGAUUUUGUGAGCAAAAUGCUCUAGAAACUUGCAAAUAGGUCAGUCAUGCAAUUCUGCGAGCAAGACAAUAAAUAUUAAAUAUCUCAUCUUGGUUCUUGUUCUGUUAUUGCCAUUAGCACUGAAGUUCUCGUUGAAACCUAUCUGAAUCUCAAAAUGACCUCUAUAUUAACUGUUUACCACCCAAUAAAAGGUAUUGGCCACCCUACAUUCAUUUUGCAUCUGUGAUCAUGGAAAUAGUCAACCAUCAAGUAUUAUUUGUUGCUCAGGCAAGGAUGUAUAUAUAUAUGUCCUUGCGUUUGUUACAUGGUUUUAUGAUUAUAUAAGUUGAGUUUUAAUUCCUUCUAAUCUUGUAUCUUCAAAUAAGAAGUCACAAGUGAAGAACUCAGCGGUAAUUAACUCCAUAUAAAAUUCUAAACAUA
rnacentral:lncRNA from 1 species